rnacentral:lncRNA from 1 species
AACUUUUUUUUUUUUUUUUUUUUUAAGGUGAAGGGUUGUUUUGAUAGGACUGUUAAUAAGAUUAGAUUGGAGUUAGUUGGGCCUACUCAACCUGAAAAAAAAAUUGAUGAAUCUAAUCCUUCAUUGAGUUAGCUUGAAUUUAAAUUAAAUAUGAAGCCCGAAUUAAAUGCAAGUCAAAAUUGAACUUUAUUAGCCUCACACCUGAUACAUGCUUGGCUCGUUAAUCUAUAAUUAUAUGUAUAAUAAUCUAUACAAUAGGUGUAUAUAAUUAUAUCCAAAUAAAUAUAUAGUAACUAAAUCUUGGCUUUGUAGGUCGUCUAAAUCACCUCUAAUAUUAGGAAUGUCAUUAAUGAUGUUAUAACUAUGUUGUCUUUCUAUUCUAAAGUUGUGUUAUAUAAAGUUGGCAGGGACCAAGUCCUUCUUGCCCAUGAGUUAGCGGUGCAAGCUUACUGUUAUGUUAUUGCUACCUGUCAUUAAUAUUAAUUCCAAGUUUGUGUUUUUUUUUUAAAAGUUUUAAUGUUGUGGUCAUAUGAAUAUUAAAUUAAUUUUAAAACUUAAUAGUUCUAAUAAUUAUAUUGGGUUAAACCCAAGUCACGCUCACAGCAGAAUAUUUUGUGAGUCAAGUAUGAGUUUUAUAUUUAUCAACCCAAAACUCAUAACUCAAGAUCCGAAAGUGAUACUAACUAUAUGAGUUGAAUUUGAACUUAUUAAAAUCGGACUCAAAUGGCUUGAUUGAUAGGCCUAGAUUUUUGGAAUCAGAUUGACAAGUCUAGUUUUUUAGGACGCAAUAAAUAGAAGAUCAUCUGCAUAUCGGCUUAUGUUCCACGUUUAUUUAAGUCAAAGCGCACACUUCCUUAUACUAUAUAAGAAUGAGUUGUAGUCAAAAAGAGGUUUUGAAUUUCAACCGCAUAGAUAGGGGCAUUUUCAAAAUGUGGAAUGAUGUAGAGUUUAUUUUUAGCUUUGGGUACAGGUGAUGGUAGCAUGUGUUUUGGUAUAUGUACAGAAAUCUCCUCAUGUUUGUACAUUUAAAGCGUAAAUUUAUGGAGACAUUAGGAUAUUUUUGGAAUGUGAGACUGUUUUAUCAUCGUUUUUGUAUCGAGUUUAUAUAUUGGUGUAAUUACUUAAAUGGUGUUACAGACACAUUUACUUGAAGUGUAGUAUUUAUUGUGCAAUUGAAAUGAGGACACAUUAAUUACUGUAAUCUUAUCACUUGAGGAUAUUCAAUUGCCUGAAACAUAUUCAAUUGUUUUUGCCAUUUACAUCUCAAUUAAACUGAAGGAAACGUGGGUAUGUUAAUGAAUUAAUGCCUCAGUAUUGGUUUUUCGGUGGUUUAGCUUGAGGUGAGUUUUGUUCCUUAAUUUUAUUGUUUAUGUGGGUGAGUUUGGUGGUGUGUAGCGUCGGUAACUGCUUCCAUCUCAAAAUUUGAAAAUCUAAUUGCGUAAUUUAACUGUAAUAUUAUGAUUUUUUUCACAAAUUUGGUUGGUCUGUAUAAUUUGAAUGGUGCGGUUAUGAUGUAAUAGGUUUGGAGCAACUGCAAGAAAAAGUUUUCUAAGGGGUAUCUAGAACAAGGUAAUCCAAAAAAGUACUUUAAUUAAUUACUUCAAUUAUGGUGUGUUUUCUGCUGCAUGUAGUAAGUGAUUCAUAUAUGAAAUUCAUUUUGAUAGUAAUUUGAUAUUGAAACAUUGUGAAUUGGUAAGUUACAUGGUAUACUGCUGAUUUGAGUUUGAAUUAUUUAGUCACUGAUGAAUUAAUAAAAUAAACACCUACUAAGCCAUUCAUAUUGGUAGUAUUUUACAUAUACCUUCUAAUUAAGCAAAGGUAAUAGAAAUGGUUUGAUUUCCUUAGGCAGUGAUGAAUUUGUAAAAACUCCUUCAAGCAAUCAAGCAAACAACUUCAAUGAGUGCUCUCUUAUAUUAUAGAAUAAUGAAUGAUUUCUUAUACAAAUAAACAAAACUAAAAUUGCUGCAAAAAGCUAAAAAGAUGAACCAAAAUAAUGGGAAACAAAACCUCACACUAUACAAGAUGAGUGUGUCUUUGAAUUUUAACCCCAAAAACAGACACAUAACUAAUGAAAUUACUUCUAAUUCAUGAAAUGUAAAUUGAAUAAUAAUCCGAAGAGAGGGAAACUUAAAUAGCUUUUUUACAGAUGCUAUAGUCCUUCUUGAUCAACAGGUUGAUUAAUAUUUUAGCCUCAAGAGCAGACAUAUAGCUAAUGAAAUUACCCAUAAUCUGUGAAAUGCAAGUUGAAUAAUAAUUUAAAGAAAGGGAGACUUAAAUGGCCUUUGCAGACAAUCUAUUAUUGAAACAUAUGCUAUGAAGUAUUAUCGUUUAGUAUGAUAUCCAACUCUUAUCUUCAUUCAUUUACUUUCCUAUAAAUUUAAAUACUUUCGAAACUCCACGAAAUAACAACACAACCACCAACAAACAACUAUUUAAAAAACAUUUUUAAUCACAGGUACCAAAUACCCGUGCAAUGUGUGGGCACUCCCUCCCUAAUGCUUUCAAAUAAUAUCAUCUGUUAAUAGGAGCCCAAAAGUGUUAAUAAGUGCACCAAAAUAGGACGAAUUACAUAUAUUAACAGAAUUUACUUUCUAUACAUUGAUAAUAUAAUGAUUUUUUUUAUACAAACAACCAUAAAUGUAUGUUACGUGUAUGAUUUGAAUUUCAAAUUUGAAUUUAUUUUAUAUAAUGUGAUCUAACCUGUUAGUAUAAAAAAAUUAUCUACUAAUAAUGUAUAAAAAAAUUUACCCAUGUUAAUAUUAAUAUUAAUAAGGAGCACUUCUCAAAAGAAUUCUUUGUUUCGAUGGACUUUUCUAGCAACUGCAUAGGGUCACUUGUUAGACAAAUUCAAAUUUCAUAUGUUCCAACAUCCGAUGAAGGAGAAAUUCUUAUGUAAAAUUGCACAACUUAAAUCAAAUUAAAUUGUAGUACAACAUUUUAUCAACUUAAAUCAUAAUCGUUCUUUCUGUAAACUCGUACGUGUCCUCUAGUUUCAUGCCAUUCCGUAGUUUCGUUUAGGAUUUGUUUUAUCUUUAAAUACAUUUAGCGGUCAAAGUAAAUUCUUAAACACAUUUCAAAUUGCGUUUGCACCUUCGAACUCGGGUCAAUGCGAUGGGGCCAUUUUCUCUAAGAAGUCAUAAAUCGAACUUUUUGUUAGUAACUGGAGCUCAAGUCAUGUAUGUAAAAUUGUCCAAGCUACGUUUAUGAAUGCCAAAGUACAUUAAUCAAUCAGUUACACAUAUUGAAAUAUUGCAGCAAACAACGGAUCAGCAAUUGAAAAAAAUUAAACAUGAAAUAACUCGAGAAACAUUUUUCAAAACAAACCAUGCAUGUAUGAGUAAUUAAAAAGAAAAUCUCUAAACAAAUCUCAAAUUCAAUGAGCCCAACAACUCUAUAAAUUCACGGUUCUUGAUGUAUCAAAUACUUGGAUUGAGAAGCACUUGAUGAAUCAAAUUCUCAAGAUUCAAGUUUGAAUCUGUCACGGCCGUUUCUGCCAAUUUUUUCCAGUCCAUGGCCUUUUUCUUCAUUUCCUUACCUUUCUCUCCAGCCAUUAACUCGCUAACAAGGCCUUCAACCUCAUCCCUCUUGACAUUAUUGUCUAUCUCCAUUCCAAUACCCCAUUUAGUGCAGCAAAACCAGCAAUUAGUUUGUUGGUCAGCAAAAAAUGGCCAGCAGAUCAUAGGCACCCCAUAACUAAUACUUUCGAUUGUGGAAUUCCACCCACUAUGAGUUAAGAAUCCUCCAACAGCAGGAUGGCUGAGAACUUUCUCUUGAGGGCACCAGCCUGCAAACAUGCUUCUUUCUUUGGUUUCUUCAAGAAACUCACUUGGCAGAGUAGCAGAACUGCCUGAGACAAGAUCUGGCCUUAAAAUCCACAAAAAGUUUUGUUUGCUAUUAGCAAGUCCCCAAGCAAAUUCGACUAGUUGCUCAGGUGUCAUAACAGCAAUGCUUCCAAAGUUGACAUAAACCACAGAGUUUGGAUCUUUCGAAUCAAGCCAUUCAAGACAUUCUGGCUCUUCCUUCCAGAGAUUUGAUUGAAUAUCUGUUAAAGACUUAUCAUGCACAUGAUUAUCAAGGAAAUGUAGUGGUCCAAUGGUGUAAAUUGGUGGAAGAUAAGAUGAAAGUGCAUCUAAUACACCAUGUUCGAGUUGUUGAUAGGUGUUUAUAAUGAUGGCAGAAGCCUUUCUAGCUCUCUGAGUUUCUUGCAGGACGAAUUUCACCAUAAAAUCAUCGGGAUUCGUGGUUCGUAAGAAGCUUGGAAGAUCCUUCAAGCGUAUACCCUCUAAUUCUGGAAUCCAGUCUAGAACAGUAUCUAGAUAUCCAUUUGUCAAAUAACUGGCAUCUGCAAGGCAUAAGAUGUACGACACCAAGUAUCAUCAGAAUCAUUCAAAGGGCAUGGGGGCAGUGCAAAAUUUGAUGCUUUUUACAAAGUCAUAUUCUUGAAAAACAAAUAUUUUCCAACUUAGUUAAAAGAAAAAAAAAAUCUUACACUUUCUGAUUCAUUAAAUUAAAUUUUGACUACAAAGUCAAUGUUAUGCGUCCGCCAAUGACUAUAUGAAGUAAACCACAAAAAAAAAUGAUGAGAAUAGUACUGACAGUGCUUGAAGAAGCAAAAUAUUAUUUUAUGGUGACACUGACAAAAAUGGUCCGCAAAAAAAUGGUGACACUGACAAAAAAUUAUUUUAUUAAGAAUUGGUACCUUUGAGUGGUAUGAUACCCUUUUCCAUAAGCUUGGCAUACUGGAAGUACCCCAAGUAGGAACAUGCACUGGCGGUCCAAAAAAGAACUUCAGGGAUGCUUAGUUCUUCAGCAGCUGCAAGAGUGAAGGCCGUUACCGCAUCAGAAACUAUGCAAGAAACUGGGGGUACUUUCGAGGAAGAUGUAUCGUUGAGUUCAGCAAGUAGCUCCCUGAAGGGACCUAAGCAAGUUCUAUCCAUAGAUUCACAAAGGGUUGGAACAUCUUGGGUAGCAUCGACAUCUGAAGGCGGAAGUCCAUCAGGAAUGGCUUUAAAUUGGAAAUCAGGGAAUCCGUUGAGGGCAUCAGGACCUCUGGAUUUAAGCAAGCGCCUGUGGUUGAAUUCAGUGUUGACAAAGGUGAUGUGGAAACCAUUGUGAUGGAGGAGCUUGGCUAGGUUCAGCAUGGGGCCUAUGUGGCCUUGGGCUGCAGCUGGUACGCAGACUGCAUGAGGCUUCUUCUCUAAUGGAGCAAUGGAACCCAUUCAGUUCUUCUUGCAGGGGAAUUUGAACAGAUUAAAUGGAAAUUGUCAAUGGGAUUUAUGAGGCUUUGGGAUUGGAACGAUUGCAAAGUUGAUGAAAAGGUAGCUUCAUUUAUAUAGACGGAGUCGAUCAGUGGCAAAGUACUGCUGCAGUAAUAUUUUUCGGGCUGGGUCUACGGUCUACCGGGGAAUAGUCUUCCGCAGUGGCUUUCAAAAUAAUGAGGCUGUCAAUCUCAUAAAGUGAAAGGUUAACAUCUGUUAAUAGUCAUUAGUCUAUUGCUAGGAACACUUCUUUCGUAGUCCAAAGGAUUAAAAUAAUUGCUUGGAGUUCUUCAUUUUUUUCAUCUACGUACUCAAGAAACGUCUGAGUAAGUUGGAACAAAACAAAAUGGUGAAUACAAUACAUAUAAUAAAGAAAAAAAUGACACUUGUGAUCUACGUGCUUGCGUAUUUAUCACCAACACUAGGAGGUUACCUCCAAUUCAAGAAAUCAAAGUUAGACUUCUUUAUCGUCCCAAAAAGGGGUUCAAUAAUAAAAUAGAAGAAAAAAGCUGUGAAUUCUCUAUCAUUAGACAUUUUUGGCAUUUGAAAACGCCACGCUUCUGAUUUUCUUGAAUUAAAUUAAGCGGAGGGCUGGAUUAUGGGGGAAUCAAACCCAUUCCUUAGAGUUUAGCCAGGAUGACCUUUUCUAAUCCCCUACCAAUUGAUUUAGUCAACUAUAGUUUUAUAUUUUUUCUUAAAUCCAUUUGAUUUUCCAUCAUGUCUAUUCAUUUUUCUCUUCUUGGAUUAGUCCGUGGCAAUUUGAGGUUUAGAUACAUGCACUCCUUUAUUUUUUGUAUGUACAACUUGUGAGGGGAAUGACGUGAACCCUUCACGAUUACUCAGAGGCCAUAGCUGAUAAUUUGGUAGGACCACGGUGCGGCCCUCCACCGUUGAGGAGGCAUAUUCAGCUACCAUUAGUUUGCCCACGUCGGCGAGUUAAUUGAUAGACGAAGAAAUACUCUUUAUUCUGGGCAAUGGCGAAGACACAAUUUUAUCGCAACGGAUCUUCUGUUCACAUCUUGUGUCACUUUCUAUUCCAUUUUUUAUUAUAUUGCUGUUUCUCCUACAUAAAAAUUAUGUUUUAGUUCUUUUUUGUUUCCUAAAAAUCCAAUAACUAUUAAUUGAGUAAUAUACAAAAUUUAACAAAUUCAAAAUAUCAAAAUGCAUAAAAAAUGAGAUUUUUUAAUGAAUUUGCUGUAUUUUAAAUUUUCUAUUAUAUAUUGUUUUUUGAAGGUUUUGUAUUUAUUUUUUACUUAAUUAAUAGUUAUUGGAUCUUUAGGAAACAAAAAGGAACUAAAACAUGAUGUUUAUAUUGGAGAAAUAGCAAUAUAAUAAAAAGUGGCACAGAGAGUGGCACAGAGUAUGAAACAGAAGAUCCGUUGCGAAUUGCGCAAUGGAUCUUCUGUUUCAUACUCUGUGCCACUCUCUGUGCCACUUUUUAUUAUAUUGCUAUUUCUCCAACAUAAACAUUAUGUUUUAGUUCCUUUUUGUAUAUACAAAACCUUCAAAAAACAAUAUAUAAUAGAAAAUUUAAAAUACAGCAGAAAAUUCAUAAAAAAAAUCUCAUUUUUUAUGCAUUUUGAUAUUUUGAAUUUGUUAAAUUUUGUAUAUUACUCAAUUAAUAGUUAUUUGAUUUUUAGGAAACAAAAAAGAGCUAAAACAUGAUUUUUAUGUAGGAGAAAUAGCAAUAUAAUAAAAAGUGGCACAGAGAGUGGCACAGAGUAUGAAACAGAAGAUCCAUUGCGCAAUUCUAGUAUCUUGACAGGUGAGGAUUAUUUUGACAAAAAAAAAAAAAAGACAGGUGAAGAUUAAACUAUUUCAACUUUUGGUUUCGCCGGCUUAGGCAAAUAGUUAAAUCCAACAGUCACGUUAGAAAUCCUAACAAAAGAAGAGAUCAGAAAGAAAGCAUGCCAAGUCCACCAAUAUGCAACAAGUGGUCUACGUAAAUUUCUCAUCAAUUGCUUAAUUACGAGAAAAGUACUCCAAUUCUUGUAGUUUUGUAUAGUUGUUGCAAGUGAAAUUCUUUUUUUUUUGGCGGGAUAACUAAGAAAGUGAUUAAUUCCAACUUCAAAGAGGUUACUUAUGUUAACAAUUAGUAUACGACUUGAGGAAGGAAUAUGCAAUUUAUGAAAAUACAGGGUUUCAGAUUCAGCAUAUAAGAUGCAUUUGAUAAUAAAAAAUAGCACAUCUGAAUAAAUGACACUGAAUCUCUUAAGCAAACUUGCUGCAAAAGUGAGAAGUUAUUCAGUUACCAAUUGAUGUGAUAUACAAUCAAAUAUAUCAUAUUAAUAUUUAAUAAUUUAGUAAUAUAAUAUAUUAAAAUUUCAAAUUUUAGUUUGCAAAUUUUAGUUUUAUCAAACGUGUUCACAAUUGAAUUAUUGUGCAAUUCAAAGCACAAGAAACCACCAAGAAGAUUUUCAUCAAAUUAAACUCUUUCUAAAUGUUCGUACUACCUCCUGCUUCUCUAUAUGUUGUUCAAAACAUGUGGAUUGAAUUAUUUAAUUAAAUUAAAUUAGACAAAUUUUCAAUUCAAUAACUCCAUGAGAGUCUUAUGUUUGCCCUUUUUUUUUAUUUUUUGUUUCAAUUUUUUAAGGUUGAGCCUUAUUCUAUUACAGCAUAAGCAUAAAAAAAGUUUACAAAGAGAAAUAUCUAACCAACUUAGCUAACUUAAUUGGCCAUUAGAGUCCCCUACUAUAGGACCAUUAUUUGAAAAGAAAAAAAGAAAUAUCUCAAAGCAGUGAAAAAAAGAGGAAUAUCUCAAUACAAUGCACAAGCCUGUUCGAGCAACUCAAAGCUGCAAUCAGAACUCAACACUCAAAAGAGGAAAGAAAACGGCUAAAUAAUACACAGACCAAAAAAACCUAUACAGAGGAAAAAGCCGAUUAAAAUCCCAUGCAGUACGAUAUCAAACCAAUUAGCCUUCGUUCUGCUAAUUCCUCUCCUUAAAGCAAUAGAAGAUUUAAAAUGAAUUUGCACAUUUUUAACUCCAAGUAAACUGACAUAGGCCGUCGUUUCACAAAAAUUUACCUUGUAAAGAAUUGGAGUUCGAUUCAAUUACAUUUUCAACCAAACUACCAACAAAGAAAUAAAUGCAAAAAGGACCGAAGAAACAUUACAGCGAUGCGCUCAAUACAAGGCCAACAAUAUCUGUAUCUGUUGGAAAAAUGGCUAUAUCCAUUGUAGAGUGAAUGAGAAAAUUGUUCUCAUAAUGGCACUCUUGAAAGAAUCCAAGGAUAAUUAUCUAUCAUUCAUAGGAUUCAUGUAUAUUAAUUAUUGAUACAUGAUUUUGGAUAGGAUUCAUGUACUUAGUACAUGAUUUUGGAGUUAUCUUAUUGAGAUACAUGUAUGUACAUGAAUGUAGUACUUUGAUAAACGCGAAGAUAAUUAUCUGAAAUUUAACACUUGUUGCCAAUUGCUAACAGUCACCCUUGGUCAGCAUCUAUAAAUAUCUCUCUUUUGUUUAAAAAACGGAGGCUCUCUCUAUUUUUCCUUCUUGCAUCUUCAUCUUUUAUAGUAUUCUAUAUUGCUCCAGUUCGAGUUCGCUGUGGUGAAGAAAGUUUGGUGCUGACAUAUUCACCUUUAAUCCGUUGUAUCCUGGGAGACAGAUGCCUACUUAACCUCGAGCACUCUACCUGGAGAGGGCGAAUCUGUUUUAAGGAAAUUGUGCUCACAAGUCUCGGAUUGUUAUUAUUGUUAUUUUCGAUCAUUUCUUUCUUUCUAGGUUGUAUUUAUUCUUCUCUAUAGUGUAUCAGCCUAUUUUUAUUAUUUCACUAAUAGUCUUAAAACAGAUUCAUUCUCAAUGGCUGACAUUCCAGGAAGAGAAACCAACAAAUCUACUUUUGAUGCCUCUGCCUCUGGCACAAUUGUGAAACAACCUGAAGGAAAGAUUACUCCUUUGGUUUCUACCAACCAUAGUGAGAAAUCUGAGAAAUUCCAUGGCUUGAACUUCAAGACAUGGCAACAAAAGAUGUUGUUCUAUUUGACAACAUUGAAUCUCUCGAGAUUCUUAAGUGAGGAUGCUCCAAAGCUGCCUGAAGGCUUAACUGAUGCACAAGCUGUCAGUGCUAUUGAUGCUUGGAAGCACUCCGAUUUCCUUUGUCAAAAUUAUGUCAUGAACUGCUUGCAUGACUCGCUGUAUAACGUGUAUCAAAUACACAAGACGGCAAAGGCAUUAUGGGAAUCCUUAGAUCGGAAAUAUAAAAUCGAAGAUGCCGGGGCAAAGAAAUUUGUCGUUGGAAAAUUUCUAGACUAUAAAAUGGUGGAUUCCAAGACUGUUAUCAGUCAAGUGCAAGAAAUUCGGAUUAUCUUGCAUGAGAUUCUAGCUGAAGGCAUGAUUUUGAGUGAAACCUUUCAAGUAGCUGCUGUUAUUAAGAAGCUACCUCCUGGGUGGAAGGAUUUCAAGAACUAUCUCAAGCACAAGCGUAAAGAGAUGAGUAUGGAGGACCUUAUCGUUAGACUUCGAAUUGAAGAAGACAACAGGGGUUCUGAUUGCAAGGCAACAACUUUUGUUGAUGCUAAAGCAAAUAUUGUGGAGUAUAAGUAAGAGCAAAACUCCAAACGUAAAAAGCCAAAUUGAAAUCUUAGGGCAAAAGGGAAAAUCUCUAAGCAGAAAUUCCAAGGAAAGUGCUUCAACUGUGACAAAAAAGGUCCCAAGUCCACUGAAUGUAAGCUUCCAAAGAAGAAGAAGCAUGAAGCGAACUUGCUUGAUAAAAUCGACGGAGAUAUGGAAAACAUGAACCUGACUGCUAUGGUUUCUGAAGUAAAUAUGAUAGGGUCAAAUCCGAAAGAAUGGUGGAUUGACACUGGAGUUACAAGACAUGUUUGCACAAACAAAUACCUGUUCACUACCUUCGAAAAAAUUGAAGGUGAAAAAAUGUUCAUGGGGAAGGUCAAGGAAAGGUGUUGCUAAAGAUGACUUCUGGCAAAACAUUGACUUUGAACGAUGUUCUGUAUGUGCCAGAAAUCCGCAAGAACCUUGUUUCUGGAUCAUUGCUGAACAAGCAUGGCUUUCGCAUGGUUUUUGAAUUGGAUAAAGUUAUAUUAUCCAAAUCUGGGAUGUAUGUAGGGAAAGGAUAUACAACCGAUGGGUUGUUCAAAUUGAAUGUAAUGACUAUUGUAAAUAAUAAGAAUAAAUCUUCUGCUUAUUUGCUUGAAUCUUCCAAUUUAUGGCAUGGUAGACUAGGUCAUGUUAAUUAUGAUACUUUGCGUAGACUAAUUAACUUGGAUCAUAUUCAUUCCUUUCACAUCAAUUCAAACCAUAAAUGCGAGAUUUGCGUAGAAGCAAAAUUAACAAGGUCAUCGUUUCAAACAAUUGAAAGAAACACCGAACCUCUUGAAUUGAUUCACACAGAUGUCUGUGAUUUGAAAUUUGUUCAAACAAGAUGUGGUAAUAAAUAUUUUAUCACUUUCAUUGAUGAUUGCACAAAAUACUGUUAUGUGUAUUUGCUCAAAAGUAAAGAUGAAACCUUGGAAAAAUUCAUUCUCUACAAGAAUGAAGUUGAAAAUCAACUUAACCGGAGAAUUAAAAGGUUAAGAAGUGAUAGAGGUGGUGAAUAUGAAACACCUAUUGGUGAUUAUUGUGCAAAAUAUGGAAUUGUUUAUGAAGUAACUGCACCUUACUCACCACAAUCGAAUGGUGUUGCUGAACGGAAAAAUUGCACACUAAAGGAAGUGAUGAAUGCGAUGUUACUAAGUUCAGGAUUGCCUCAAAAUAUGUGGGGUGAAGCUAUUUUGUCAAAUAAUUACCUUUUAAAUAGGGUACCCCGAAAAAAAUAAGAUAAAACUCCUUAUGAGUUAUGGAAAGGUAGGAGACCAUCCUAUAAAUACUUGAAAGUGUGGGGGUAUCUUGCAAAAGUGGCUAUUCUAGCACCAAAGAGAAUAAAGAUAGGUCCUAGAACUGUGGACUGUAUCCUUAUUGGCUAUGCACAUAAUAGUGCUGCUUAUCGGUUUCUUGUGUAUAAUUCAGAAAUUUCGGAUAUACAUAAAAGUAUGAUAAUGGAAUCAAGAAAUACUUCAUUCUUUGAAGAUGUGUUUCCUUGUAAAUCGAAUGGUGCAUCAAGUUCAUCAAAGCAAACACAUGAAGUUAUGAGUCAAGAAAAACAUAAUCAUGACUUGAUUCAACAAGAUGAACCGAGACGUAGCAAAAGAGCUAGAGUGAAAAAAUCAUUUGGAGAUUAUUUCACAACUUUUCUAUUAGAAAAGGAACCACAAACCUAUACAGAAGCUGUAAGUUCUUCUGAAGGAUUUUUGUGGAAAAAAGCAAUAAAAAGUGAGGUUGAUUCUAUUUUACAGAAUCAUACAUGCGAGUUAGUGGAUCUUCCUCCUGGUUGUAGACCUUUAGGGUCCAAAUGGAUCUUUAAAAGGAAAAUGAAACCUGAUGGCUCUGUCGAUAAGUACAAAGCCAGACUUGUAAUCAAAGGAUACAAACAACAAGAAGGUUUGGAUUAUUUUGAUACUUAUUCUCCUGUUACGAGAAUAAAUGCUAUCAGAAUGAUUCUUGCUAUCGCUGCAUUGAGAAAUCUAGAGAUACAUCAAAUGGAUAUAAAGGCGGCUUUCUUAAAUGGUGAUUUAGAUGAAGAAAUCUUCAUGGAGCAACCUGAGGGUUUCAUAACUCCGGGAAAAGGAAAUAAAGUUUGUAAAUUAGUAAAAUCAUUGUAUGGACUAAAACAAGCGCCAAAAAAAUGGCAUGAAAAGUUCGACAAUGCAAUGAUAACUAAUGGAUACAAAAUAAAUGAGUGUGACAAAUGUGUCUAUACUAAAGAAACAGAACAUGGUUAUGUCAUCUUAUGUCUUUAUGUAGAUGACAUACUUAUUGUUGGUAGUAAUGAUAAAAUGGUCAAGUCUACCAAGGACAUGUUGAAUUCAAAAUUUGACAUGAAAGAUAUGGGGCUUGCUGAUGUAAUUUUAGGAGUUAAAAUUACAAGAAUACCAGACGGCUUGGUCUUGAGCCAAACUCACUAUGUGGACAAGAUUCUAGAAAAAUUCAAUAAGAAUGAUUCUGAAAUUGCAAGAACUCCAUUAGACAAUAGUUUCCAUCUAUCUAAGAAUAGAGGAGAGAAUAUUUCUCAAGUAGAAUACUCACGAAUCAUUGGAAGUCUAAUGUAUUUAAUGAGUUGUAUUAGACCUGACAUUGCAUAUGCAGUAAGCAAAUUGAGUAGGUUUACAAGCAAUCCGAGUGCUGAUCAUUGGAAAGUAAUUUCAAGGGUACUUAAAUACCUACGGUACACUCGAAACUAUGGACUGCAUUACACUAGAUACUCUGCUGUUUUAGAAGGGUAUGCUGAUGCAAAUUGGAUAUCUGAUUUAAAAGAUUCAAAAUCCACAAGUGGGUAUGUGUUCACACUUGCCGGUGGGGCAGUAUCUUGGAAGUCUUCUAAACAAACUAUUGUAGCUAGAUCUACAAUGGAAUAUGAGUUCAUUGCCUUGGACAAAUAUGGAGAAGAAGCUGAAUAGCUACACCAUUUCCUUGAAGACAUUCCAAAAUGGGAAAAACCUUAGCAUAGUCAUUGUGGGAGGAUAUCCCUAGACCCAUUCCAUAAUGAAACAAUGACGCAAAUGAGAAUUAAGGAUAGCACAAUGGUAUGCUUUAAUGAUUCUUAAGUGAAGUAAUUAAUUACUGAAGACUUAAGUAAAUCACCUAUGUGAGAGUGAAGUGGGGCCGCUUCAAAAGAGAAUUGUUUAGGGCUCAAUUCUUAAAAACUCUUGCUGAACUAGGUUGAUGUUCAUGGGCAAAAUGAGCAUAACUAUGAGAACUGAACAAAUUGAGCAUGAUUCCUGUGUGAAAUAUAUGGUCCAUUUACACUAAAAAGCGGGACAGUUCAAAGACAUCAUGUCUACUGAAUUGCUAAUAAAGUAAGUGUAUUUCACAAGAGAAGGUUCAACGGGUAACACCAACCUAUCUUAUGCAGGUUUCAGUCGUGGAACACUACUGUAGAGUCAAAUCAAAACAAUUUUUCCAUUCAUGUGGGGGAUUGUUGGAAAAAUGGCUAUAUCCAUUAUAGAGUGAAUGAGAAAAUUGUUCUCAUAAUGGCACUCUUGAAAGAAUCCAAGAAUAAUUAUCUAUCAUUCAUAGGAUUCAUGUAUAUUAAUUAUUGAUACAUGAUUUUGGAUAGGAUUCAUGUACUUAAUACAUGAUUUUGGAGUUAUCUUAUUGAGAUACAUGUAUGUACAUGAAUGUGGUACUUUGAUAAACGUGAAGAUAAUUAUCUGAAAUUUAACACUUGUUGUCAAUUUCUAACAGUCAUCAUUGGCCAGCAUCUAUAAAUAUCUCUCUUUUGUUUCAAAAACGGAGGCUCUCUCUAUUUUUCAUUCUAGCAUCUUCAUCUUUUAUAAUGUUCCAUAUUGCUCUAGUUCGAGUUCGCUGUGGUGAAAAAAGUUUGGUGCUGACAUAUUCACCUUUAAUCCGUUGUAUCUUGGGAGACAGACUCCUACUUAAUCUCAAGCACUCUACCUGGAGGGAGAGAAUAAAAUUGUACUCACAAGUCUCGGAUUGUUAUUAUUGUUAUUUUCGAUCAUUUCUUUCUUUCUAGGUUGUAUUUAUUCUUCUCUAUAGUGUAUCAGCCUAUUUUUAUUAUUUCACUAACAGUAUCCAAGUCUCAAAUUCAAUAAGCUAAGCAUGAGAAUAAUUUGGAUACAUUCACUUUAACGUGUCUAGUGUCUUGGAUUGAAAAGCACUUGAUUGAUCACAUUCUCAAGAUUGAAGUAAACCUGUUGCGUAGCUGCUUCCACCAAUCUUUUCCACUUCAAGGCCUUUCUCUUCAUCUUCUUGCCUUUUUCUCCUACCAUUAACUCUGUAACAUGCCUUUCAACAUCAUCCCUCUUAACAUUAUUGUCUAUCUCCAAUCCAAUGCCCCAUUUUGUGCAGCAAAAUCAGCAAUAAGUUUGUUGGUCAGCGAAAAAAGGCCAACAGAUCAUCGGCAGCCCAUAGCUAAUGUUUUCAAUCGUGGAAUUCCAUCCAAUAUGAGUUAAGAAUCCUCCGACAAAAGGGUACUUAAGAACUUUCUCUCUAGAGCACCAACUUGCAAACAUGUUGGGAUUCAAGUGCGGAACAAAUAACUAUUGAAAUAUCAAGACACAAUAAUUCAAUGACAAAUGAACCACAAAUAUGAAAGAUAACGACAUACAAUAUUUAACAUAAUCGACUCUAUCGUUGAACUUACGUCCAUAGAGAGAACACUUAUUCUUUAUUAUGAGAGGAAAACUCUAUACAAGAAUAUAAUUUGAACCCAAUCUCAACCCUUAUGUACUAUCUCUCAUCUCUCAAUAACCCUCUCUCAUCCUAUGUUUAAGGCUACAUGUCGUUCUUGUGUGCCCAUUGUGCAUCAAUAUCUAAUAUGUUAAUCCACCUAUUUAUAAAAAAAAUAUUAUUUAGCCAAAAAUCAAAUAAUAACAGAAAAUCAAUACUAAUUCCUAAAUUUGUACAAAAUAGAAAAUAACUUCUAAAUUCUAAACAAAAUAGAAAAUUUCUUGACUACUACUUUAAGUAACUAAAAUCAAUUAGAAAACUAGUUACUUCCACAUAAAUUAAGAAACUCACCUAAAAAAAUUAAUCAAUUUCCUACAAAUCUGCACUUCGUACGAUAUUUCUUUUAAAAACCAUUUGCCUUCAAUUAUCAAAUACACAUCCGAAUCAAUACAGUCUUGACAUUCAAUUGAUUCAAUCAACAUAUGAAUAAGUGUAGUUACUCUAAAUCCAACAUCCUGUUGACUCGUGAGAAGGUGUCUCAAUUUACCAUCUCUCUUCGUAGGAUUUUUUCUCACCACCACUUGCAAUUCGAAAUCUCCUUCUGUGAGUUAUAUUUCUAACCGUUGAGACAAUCAAACAGUAAAAUCACCAUACUUCUUCUUAUUCUCAGAACUGUCUUGCCAGGUGUGGUUUUCAAUACUCCACCUAUUAUAUAAAACUCGUAGCUAUCAGAGUUUUCUUGUGUUGAAAAUUAGAUCCCUUCGUUUCUUUAGAACACAUGUCAUGCCACUUAAAGAACAUAAUCCAAAUAAAAAAAUCAUCUGGAAUAAAAUAUCAACUGUUAGAAUUGCGAGAACAUCUCCACUGGUUCAUGUCCAAAAUUAAUAUUGGACUUCACAUUUUUCUUGACUCUUGAAUCACCUGACUAAAUUCACCAUCAAAUGUUUUCAUGUUUUUCGACUUUUCAUUUUUCACCCCAAUGCUUUUUGUCAAACCCUUGAAACAAAGAUAUCAUUCAUUAAAUUCUUCAGUUGGCAACCAACACUAAUAUAUUUGAUCUCAAUAAUCAACCAGGAUCCAACCAUAAACCCCGCUUUGAUACCAAUUUGUUAAGAUUCAAGUGUUUGUGAGCAACCCAAUCUCACAAUCAAACUCUGAUACCACUUGUUGAGAUCCAAACGCGGAACAAACAACAAUUUAGUGAUAAAUAAGUCAUAAGUAUGAAAGAUAAACGGCAUGCAAUAUCUAACGUGGUUCGAUUCAUCAUUAAACCUAUAUCCACAGAGAGAAUAUCCAUUCUUUAUUAUGAGAGAAAAAUCCUAUAUAAGAAUACAAUUUAAAUCCAAAUCCAACCCUUAUAUACCAUCUCUCGUCUUCCAAGAAUCUUUUCUCAUCCUAUGUAUAAGGUUACAUGUCAUCAUUAUAUGUUCAUUAUGUGUCACUUUAUAGUAUGCUAACUCACCUAUUAAUACAGAAUAUUAUUGAGCCAAAAACCAAAUAAUAACAGGAAACCAAUACUAAUUCUUAAACUUGUACAGAAUAGGAAAUGACUUCUAAAUUCUAAACAAACUAGGAAUUUCCUUGCCUACUGCUUUAAGUAAUCAAAACUAGUUAGAAAAUUAAUUACUUCCAUACAAAUUAAGAAACCUAUCUAAAACAAAUUAAACCAAUUUUCUAACAAAAAACAUGCAUCUUUCCUUGGUUUCUUCAAGAAACUAACUCGGAAGAAUAGCUAAAUCGCCUGAAACAAGAUCAGGCCUUGAAAUCCAUAAAAAGUUUUGUUUACUAUUAGCAAGUCCCAUGCAAAUUCGACUAGUUGCUCAGGUGUCAUAAUAGCAAUGCUUCCAAAGUUGACAUAAACCAUCGAGUUUGGAUCUUUCGAAUCAGACAUUCAGGUUCUUCUUUCCAAAGAUUUGAUCCAAUUUCUUUCAAAUUCUUAUCCUUAACUUGAUUAUCGAGGAUGUUUAGCGGCCUAAUGGGAUAAAUCGGAGGAAGAUAAGAUGAAAGUGCAUGUAAUAGAUGCUGUUCCAGUUGUUGAAAGGUAUUUAUAAUGAUGGCACAAGCCUCUCGAGCUCUCCCAGUUUCUUGCAUGAUGUAUUUUAGCAUAAAUUCAUCUGGAUUUGUGGCUCUUAAGAAACUUAGAAGAUCCUUCAAACUUGUACCUUCUAAUCUUGGAAUCCAAUCUAGAACAAUGUCUAGAUAUCCAUUUGUCAGGUAACUAGCAUCUGCAAGCCACAAAUGUUUUACAACCAAAACAUCCGAAUCAUAGAACUUGCAAGGAGAAAGGGAUUGGACCCACUCAAAGUUAAAAUGUAAACAUCUCGCACUCUAUUAUUACAUGAAAUGAAAUUUUUUGCCCACAAAAGUCAAUGUUUUGCUUCCACCAAUGAGUAGAAUGCAGUGAACCACGCAAGAAUAUUGUUGUCAAAUGAGUCAAGAGUACUUUAGAAAGAAGCAGUAACUGUUCAAGCUAUUUCUUUCCUUUUUUUUUUUUAAUUCCAGAAAUACAUGGAAGAAGAAAAUAAAUGACCUCGAAAAAUUUUGAACUAACAAUUUUUUAUCAAAAAUUAGUCGUACCUUUGACUGGUAUGAUACCCUUUUCGAUAAACUUGGCAAACUGGAAAUACGCCAAAUAGGAAGAUGCGCGGGCUGUCCAAAGAAGAACUUCAGGGAUGCAAGAAACUAUUCAAGAAACUAUUCAGCAGCUGCUAGAGUGAAUGUCAUUGCUCCAUCGGAAACUAUGCAAGAAACCGGGGGCACUCUGGGGAAGAGGUAUAAUUGAGUGUAGCGAGUAGCUCCCUAAAUGAACCUAAGCAAUUUCUAUUAAUAGAUUCACAAAAGGUUGGAAUAUCUUGGGUAGCAUCGACAUCAGAAGGAAGAAGUCCGUCAGGAAUGGCUUUAAAUUGGAAAUCAGGCAAUCCAUUGAGGGCAUCACGACCUCUAGAUUUUAGUAAGCGCCUGCGGUUGAAUUCUGUGUUGACAAAGGUAAUAUGAAAACCGUUUUGGUGGAGGAGCUUGGCUAGCUUUAGCAUGGGUUUAAUGUGGCCCUGAGCUGGAGCUAUUAUGUAGGCGGCAUGAGGCUUUUUCUCCAAAAGAGCAAUGGAAACCAUUCUUCUUGCCGGGGGAUUUGAGUGGACAAAUUGUAAGUUAUUACAGAGCAGCCACGAGUUGGGAAUUGGGUUGAUGGCAAAGGAAAAGACACGUUAUUACAGAGCAGUCACAAGUUAGGAAUUGGGGUGAUGGCAAAGAAAAAACCAAAGAAGAGGCUAUGCAAAUAUAUUGAAAGGGCCGAUCUAUUCCUCAACUUGUAACAUAAUGUUUCACCAAGUGGUCCUCAAAAAUAAUCUUCAGCGCAUGACAGGUUCUGUCAAUUUUUUAAAGCAAAUUGACAGAUUUUAACCAUCGAUGCUGUGAUUUCUUUUCAAUUAUCUGUCCAAAAUUAAAGUAUAAAACGCUGGAAGUUCUUCAUUUCUUCGUCCACUGGACAAAUCUUUCGUGAAGGCGGUAACAAAAAGGUGUAAUAGAUAUGUAGCAGAAGCUGAGGUGGCAUUUGUAAGACGGUUAUCGAAUGGAGAAUUGGAAUAAAUCCCAUAAUUAUUAUUUGGAUUACUCCUAUGAAAAUCGAAAUUUUGGAAUCAUAUCUAAAAAUUUAGAAUUUCUCGAGUCGCUAAUAACUUGGAGGGUUUUGGAUAAACCCCAAGUCUGAUUCCCAUUUAAAAAUGGGGCCUGUCUCGCCACCCAUUAAAAAAUUAAUAUAUAAUUAUAUACAUACAUAUAUAAUUAUGUAUAUAAUAUAUAUUAUAAUUAUAUAUUUUGUUAUAAUAUUAGUAUAAUUAUAUAAUAUAUUUAUAAUUAUAAUAUACACAUAUAUUAUAUAUUACAAAAAUAUAUAUUAUAAUUAUUUAAUUAAAUAUAAUUAUAUUUAUAUAAUAUAUAUUAUAAAUUUGUUAAUAUUAUAUAAUAAUACUUAUAUUAUUUAUAUAUAUUUAUAAAUGUAUUUAUAUGUGCAUAUAAUUAUACUAUAUACGUGUAUAUAAUAAUAUAUUAAAUAAUUAUAAUUAAAUUUAUUAUUAUAAAUAUAAUAAUAUAUACAAAAAUUUAUAAUUAAUAUAUAAUAUACUUUAUAAUUAUAUAUUAGUAUAAUUAAUAUUUACAUAUAUUUUAUAAUUAUAAUUAUAUAUUUUAUUAUAAUAUUAGUUAAUUAUAUAAUGUUUUAUAUAAAUAUAUAAUAUAAUUAUUUAAUUAAACAUAAUUAUAUUGAUACAAUAUGUUAUCAAUUUAUUAAUAUUGUAUAAUAAUAUAUUUAUUUUAUAUAUGUAUAUUUAUAAAUAUAUAUUAUAUGUGCAUAUAAUUAAAAUAUAUAUGUGUAUAUAAUAUUAACAAAUUAUAUAAUUAUAUUUAUAUUUAUUAUUAUGAAUAUAAUAAUAUAUAAUAAUUUUUAUAUUUAAUAUAUAAUAAACAUUAUAAUUAUAUAAAAUAUUAUUAUAAUUAAUAUUUAUAUGUAUUAUAUAAUUAUAAUUAUAUAUUUAUCUUAUAACAUUUGUAUAAUUAUAUUUAAUUAUAUAUAUAAUAUUUUAUUUAAUUAGUGAAAAUUUCUUAUAUCCCAUUUACAAAGAGCCAGCGAAUCAAACAUCAACUAUAGUAAUAAUAUACAAUCCUAGUACUGAAUUAAAUAGAUGUAUUGGAAUGAUUGACUCCAUUCUAAAUCCAUGAUGAAUGAUUCUAAAUUCGAAUCCAAUUCCAACAUGCAAACCAAACGCCACCUGAAUUUUUUUGAGCUCAAUGCUUGCGUAUUUAUUGUGGGAAAAAGAGAGCUCAUUACUCAAGUUGUUUGAUCAAAUUCCACAUGGAAUAGGGGAGCUCAUUGCUCGAGUCGUUACCAAUGCCAGAGCUUGCCCGAAAUUCCAGAAUUAAUGCUCAAAAGAUACUUUGUCCAAACAAAAUAAAUAAAUAAAAUACUGGAAAUUCUCUACCACAAGGCAUUUCUGGCCUUAGGAAGCUAUAUAUGUCUGAUUUUUUUAAAAUUAAAUUAAGAGGAGGGACCAGUAGGUUGAGCAGAAUUAAACUCGUUCAUUUCUAGAGUUAAGACACAAUAUGCUUUUCUAACCAAUAGUUAAUGAAUUUUUCUAAUGAAUAUCCAAUUGAUACUCAUUAGUACACUUAGAGUCUUAGAUCAUACCCAACUUAUCAUAUGAAUUCAAACUAACAAUUAUUAUUCUAUUUUAUAUUUAUAUAUUUUUCUUAAUUAACAUUAUUUUUUCAAAAUGUGAACACCUUCCUAGAUAGACCCAUGAUUAAUUAUUUGUUUCUCCACCAAAGUCCUUUUUGUUUGUCGGGUUGGUUGUACUUUUUGUGUGAAUAGGAUGGACAUAGACGGUUGUGGCCCAACCGACAUAUGGCCGUCCCUUGGCCAGCAAUGCAAAAUCUGUAAAUGUUAGGUUUAGACAAUAAGUUAUAGUAAAUGUUAUGUUUAGACAAUAAUUAUUUGGAAAAAAAAAUAAGUGAUAGUAAUAAAACUCAAGAAAUGUGAGUGUAAUUUUUAAAAUUUGAACAAAAGUCAGUGAAAUAGUCAAAAACCUCUUAAGAGGUUUCUAAAAUUAUCUCAAUUAAUUUUUUAUAACGGGGAAAAGUAGACACCAAUUCCCAGUGCGACCAAUUUUGGGAGCCCAUGAAAACCGUAGUAAAUCAUGCUUGGAGGAUUUGUGCACUCAAGGUAAAGGCGUGAAGUUUCUGACAACGUUCGUAAUGCACCUUAAUGUACUCAAGGUAAAGGGUUUUGUAGAACGCACAUAAUAAAUAGAAGCAUUUCUUAAAAAAUAUUUUAAAAACUCUGCUACUCUUAAAUAUCUCAAAAUAUAUUCUAAAAAAAUACUUUAAAAAUUCUGCUACAGUAAAAUUUUUCAAAAUCACUCCAAAAACAGCUAAUUCGAACGGAGGCAUAGAAAAGGCCUAUCUAUUCCACAACGUGUAACAUAAUGUUUCACAUGGCAGCUCCUGUCAAUUAUUUAAAACAAAUUUUACAUAUUAUGUUUCACCAAGUGGUCUCAAGAAUAAUCUUCCGUACAUUGUAGGUUCUGUCAAUUUUUUAAGGGAUAAUUUUGUGGUUUCUAACUAUUUCACUAGCUUUCCUCCAAAUUUCAAAAAUUAUAUUAACUUCCCUUGAGGUUAAUUAUCUUAUAACAUUUAGGUCAAACUAAUAAUUAAAAAGUGAUAUUAGGAGAGAGAAGAUAACAUAGUUCAAUCAAUGUCGUUCAUCUAUUACAUUAUUUAAUUAAUUUAAUAUCAACUCACAUAUUAAAAAAAAUUACUCAAAUUUGUUGUUUAUCAUUAGGAAUCAAAUUAUAUAUACCAUCAAAAAAUAGUAUAUCAUUUUAUAUUUUUCACUCGAUACAAGGACUAAAUUACUCUUUUUAAUUACAUAUCCAUUGUCAAAUGUGAUCAACAACAAAUAAUAAAAAAAAUUGCAAAUUAAAAUAUUAUAGAGAACAAAUUUUAACAUCAUAAAUAUUCUUGUCAGCAUAUUAAGAUUGGUUAUUGAGAUUUUAUUGUAUUAAAGUUCACUCCUUAUAAUAUUUUAGUUGCAAAUUUUUUUGAUUAUUUGUUAUUGAUCAUGCUUGAUAGUGGAUUCGUAAUUAAAAAGAGUAAUUUGAAUCUUACAUUAAGUGAUAUAUAAAAUGAUAUACUAUUUUUGAUAUCAUAUAUGAUUUUAAAUCCUGAUGAUAAACAGCAAAUCUAGUGUUUUCUUUAAUAUUUGGGUUGGUAUCAGAUUAAAUAAACAAUUUAGUAGACGAGAGAUAAUGGUGAAAUCAUAUUAAUAUCUUCUCUCUCCUAAUAUCAUUUUUAAUUGUUGAUUCGACCUAAAUAUUGCAAAAUAAUAAAUCUCAAGUAAGAGGUUUUUGAAAUUGUCCCCAAUAUUAACCCACCAUUCACACAACUUCCAUCUCUACAGAGGUGCUCAUCGAGCUGUGGUAGGGGCUAGUGGGUAUACAGACCCAACUAGACCAAGAGAGUAUUAUGGCACAACUCUUAGAUUUUUUUUGCUACAGGUGAGAGGUCCAAGGAGGGACUUGCCCACUGAGCCAUUGGCUAAUUAUUUUGCUCUUUCUUCAAAUCAAUUUUAUGCACUUUAUGAUUUCAUUAUCUAACUUGGCCACACAAGUUUAGACUUCUCAGCUGCUACAAAUGUUUUUCGGAUUGAAUUGGCGUGAUGUUAGAUUGAAUACCUGGGGUUUCCCCUGUGGAAACCUUUAUGGUGGGAAGGGCAUUGACCGUUCCUACCAUAGAUAGAGGAGCAGAGCAUGACACGUAUAUUUGAAAAUAAAGGUGCUAACGGACCGAUUAUGUUGUAGUCCUAAAGCACGUGGAGAAGGUCAGCCAUAUAGAAACAUUAUAUGUGAUUUGGUAUAUUUUAAUACUCUACCAUUUUCAAAACAUUGAUCAAACAUGAUCAGUUCAAUUUCUUUCAUUUUCUCCAAAAACUCUCCUUUUUUCUUCUUGUAUCUUUUUCAUUUUCAAUACAUCAGUUUGGACCAAAAAAAUAAAAUAAAAUUGAAAAUAUGUAAAAGAUUCAUAAAUUAACUCAAAAACACUUUAUAGACUACCCAAAAUAUUAUUUUUGUAACUUGUAAAAACUUCAAAUAAACAUUCAAAUACUAACUAUUGGUAUUUAAAAAAUGCACUAUAUUUUAUCGAAUCAGAAUAAAUCCUUAUACUUUUUUAUUUUUAUUUGUUUUUAAUAUACUCAAGUUUUGGUAAUAAAAAGUAAGACAACGAAAGGGUAAAUUUGGAAUUAUAUUUUUUAAUAUACUCAAACUGAAUUUUUUAAUAUUAUAUUUUAAAAUGAGCUGUAAAUAAACAAAUAGUUUAAAGUAAGGGAGGCAAGUGAGUUUCACACCCAAAAAAAAAAAAAGAGAGGCAAGUGAGAUUUUUCAAUAUUUGUAAGUGUCAAGUAAAAUUGUUAGAAACCUCCAGGGAGGUUUAUGAAAUUAUCCCAAAUAAAAAUUUAGAAUGAAUAAGUUGCUUUUUAUAACGGUUCUAAAUGUUGCUUGAAACUUUAUAAAUUAGGCAUCUUGAGCUUGCAAAAAUAAUUUCUUGCAUAUCUAUAGCUAGUGGAAACGGAGUUUAAACUUGCUAUAGGUUAGUUUCUUGUUUUCCAUUGUAUCCUAAAGGGUAAUUUGCCAUUCAACCUAAUUUUAUUUUGAUUUUAUCCAACUAAUAAAUUAGCUUAUGGAAAAAUGGGUAAAUGGAUAAUUUAUGGAGGAAAGCCAUAAAAAACUGGUGUUUUAUUGGAAAACGGGUUUAUUUUUAUUUUAUUCGAUAAAUAAAUUUUUUAUGAGAAAAUGGGUACCCUGUUCUUAUAAUGGAGGAAAGUCAUAAAGAACUGGUGUAUUAUUGAAAAAUGGAUUUAUUUUUAUUUUAUCCGAUAAAUAAAUUUGUUUAUGGGAAAAUGAGUACUUUGUUCUUAUAAUGGAGGAAAAUCAUAAAGAACUGGGGUUUUAUUGGAAAACGAGUUUAUUUUUAUUUAUCUGAUAAAUAAAUUUGUUUAUGGGAACAUGGAUAUUCUGUUCUUAUAAUGGAGGAAAGCUAUAAAGAGCUCGUAUUUGACGGAAAAAUGAUACUUUAAGAUAUCAAUGGAAAACAGUUAAAACACAUUCACAUAUUUGGUAUUUGAAAUAAUGAGAUUGUUUUUAGAGGUGUUUUUAUGGUUGUAUUUUGGAAUAUUUUUAGAAUUUAAGAAUUAUUUGAGAUAUUUUAUAAAAAUUUCAACCACCCACUGGGACCACGGGCAGGAACGGUACCAUUCCUAGCGGUUUUGUGCAUUUUGCACACCGCAUAACUUUGUAUGCACACGACGUAACUUUGUUUGCACAAUGCGUAAUUUUAGAACAAAUUUUUGUGGAUCCCACACACGUUAAAAACGAGGUUCAAGAAGUGAUCUGGACCGUACAAUUUUUUUGGACCAAAUCUUAGCCGUGAACAGCUCAGGAGCGGUCCAUCUGAUGACCGCUCCUGCCCCUCAUCCCACCCACUGCCCCCCCCCUUCUCCUCUCUCUCUCUCUCUCUCUCUCUCUCUCUCUCUCUCUCUCUUCUCUUUUCUCCUUCUCCUUCCUCCCUUUUCUUCUCCCUUCCACCACCACCCCUACCAUCACCCACCACACACUGUCACUGACACUGUCACUCCCAACCCAAUUGGCCUCCCUUUCCCCCUCACGUUACAUAUUUUUAUUAAUGAAAAUUUUUCCCGUAAAUGGCCUGUUCUUUAUGGUUUUUCUUCAUUAUAUGAUCAAAGUACCAGAUUUUAAUGAGUAUUUUACAUCUAUUUAUUUAGUACUUUAAAUAAUGAUAUUCAGUUGUUUCUUUCCCUUUUAGACCAACUCUUUUGACUUGUGAAUUUUUGUGCUCUAGGAAAAAAAUUUUUGAUUAAUUUUUUAUAGAAAUGCAAAAGAAAAAAAUUAAUUAUGUAUAAAUUUCAAAAAUACUAAUUUAUUCACAGGAUAAAAUCAGAGUAAAAUUUCUAGUGAAUAAAUGGGUUUAAUAUGUAAUACCCGUGUUCCCAUUAAUUACUAUUUAUUUUUGGCUUUCCUCCAUAAAGUGCUCAUUUUCCCCUUUUUUCAUGAGUUACCAGCUCUUUAUAUUACUCCUCCAUGAAUUAUUUAUUUAAUUCAUGUUGCAUGCAUAACCCACCAGUCUCCAUUUCAUAAGUCUAGGGUACCGAAAGAUUAAUAAUUUAUUUAUCAGAUACAGUCAGAGUAAAUGGUGAAUAUGUGGGUUUAACAUGUUAUACCCAUUUUUUCAUAAAUUUUUUAUUAAUUAUGCAGGGUACCAUAGGAUUAAUAAUUUAUUUAUCAGAUAAAAUCAGAGCAAAUGGCCAAUUAUACCCGUUUUCUAUUUAUUCUUUAUAGAAAUGCUACCAAUUUACAGCUUUGCUGCAUGAUGUGCCCAUUUUUCCAUAACAUACUAGCUCUUUAUGGCACUCCUCCAACACAUGAACAAAGCACUCGCUCUUUAUGAGUCGUUUACUUUUACAUAGUUAAUUGAUGUUAAAUGUAUAAUCUACUGGUUUACCUUUCAUAAAUAUAGGAUACCAAUGGAUAACAGUUAAAACACAUUCACAAGAUUUGGUAUUUUAAAUAAUGGCAGCUCUUUAUGGCAGUCCUCCAACAUAUGAGCAAAGUGCCAAUAAUUAAAUUAGUAAUUUUUUCGAUUUAUACAUAAUUAAAUUUUUUUUUGGCAUUUUCACAAAAAAUUAAUGAAAAUUUUUUAUCAAAAAGCACAAAAGUCAAAAGGAUUGGUCUAAAAGGGAAAGGAUAGUAGAUAUGUACAGUACUUGUAUUUCACGUUCUACAGUGCUGUUUUUGAAAAACACCCCCAAAAACAUCUAAUUCAAACGGAGCCAGUAUUUUUCCACUGUUUCAUCCUUAGAAGAGUGAUAUAGAUACAGACAUAUAAACACAGACAUACAUCUGUUGUGUGUGUAUUUGAAGACAACUUCUGCAUCCAAAGCUAGCUAUUCAGCUUUUGUGUCCCCAUUAUUGUUUCUUAAGUAUUAUAAAUUUUUGGAAAUUAACGAAAUGUCAUUAUUAGUUCUGUGUAUGGAUUCAAUCCAAAAAUAUGGUUGUAUUAGUUAAGUUUAGUUCGUAAAGUUAAAUCUUCCAAACAUACCAUAGGAAGAAGUGGCAAGCAUUGGAAAUGAUUUUGCAAUAUAAUAUCAAUUUGAAUAACUGACAAAAAUUAAAAUAUCAUCAUGUUUAGUAUUGAAGUUUACAAAAAUAAUAAUGAACAAUUAAAUGGCAGAACCUACUAAUAGCGAAACCUUCUCCAAUUGCUUUAGACUUCGUAUUAGAUGGCAAACAAAUUGAUUUUGAAGUAUUUAUUUCCUAUAAAACAAAGUUAUGGAAAGAUCAUUUUUUUUAAUUGUAAUUGUAUUUAAUUUAAAAAAUGAACACAUUAAUAGUGUGAACAUGAAAUUAAGAAAAUUGUAAAUGAUAUGAUUUCGGGGAAAAAAAUUAUGCUACCGACUUUUUUGUAUUUAUCACUAAUUCACAUAUUGUGGCUGUAAAUUAAAAAAUUUUCAAGAUCAUCUUUUCAUUAAUUAGUCUUUUUUUUCGUCCUAUCGUUAGUUUGAAUGGAAAGUUUAGUUGCACGUUGUUUGUGAGUAACUUCUAAAGUAAUUAUCCUAAUAAUUUUAUGAUUGCUUAGUAUAUUUAUGUCAUGGGUAUAUAUUAUUGGUAUGUUGUUAUUAAUUUUAAUAGAUUUUUUGGUAUAUUAGGUGCAUAAAAUAGUAGUUUCAGAAUUUUUUGAAUGUAACAAAGCAAUGGGGGAAACAAUGAAAUAAUUGCUGCGAAGGAAACACAUGCACAGUGAAUGGAGGAAAACAUACACAGUAAUUGGAGGAGAAAAAAGGCACAGCGAAUGGCGAGAAACCCUUUAGUGGAAUUGGCCACUACCUUUGGUGUGGGGUGGGAGGUCCACUUAAUGUGGUUUUGUUUAAGAUCUAUGUGGGUGCUGUGUACAUGUAUGGUCCGAUAGUGAUUUAGUCCCCAUCAGUUCCCUGUAACCCUGUUAGGUCACCCCCUUAGUAUAGGCUAGAUUAGACCUAGGAGUAGGUAUAGAUGUAGACUUUGACAAGUGACAAAAAAAAAAAGAAUGGUGAGAAACCCAGCACUAAUGCGUAGGGCUCACCGCGUAUAUGACAACAGCGUACGGUAUUCGUUGGUUGGUUGCAUCCGGACAUGUUCGUUUGGUUUAUCUCCAUGCGCAUUAGCACUAUAACAUAACCGGUCCGUUAGCACCUUUAUUUUCAAAUAUACGUGUCAUGCUCUGCUCCUCUAAUAAAACACCAACUCUUUACGGCUUUCUUCCAUAAAUUAUCCAUUUACCUAUUUUUCCAUAAGCUAAUUUAUGAGUUGGAUAAAAUCAGAAUAAAAUUAGGUUGAAUGGCAAAUUACCCUUUAGGAUACAAUGGAAAACAAGAAACUAACCUAUAGCAAGUUUAAACUCUGUUUCCACUAGCUAUAGAUAUGCAAGAAAUUGUUUUUGCAAACUCAAGACACCUAAUUUAUAAAGUCUCAAGCAACCUUUAGAACCGUUAUAAAGAGUAACUUAUUCAUUCUAAAUUUUUGUUUGGGAUAAUUUCAUAAACCUCCCUAGAGAUUUCUAACAAUUUUACUUGGCACUCACAAAUAUUGAAAAAUCUGAUCACUUGCCUCUUUUUGGGUUGUGAAACUCACUUGCCUCCCUUACUUUAAACUAUUUGUUUAUUUACAGCUCAUUUUAAAAUAUAAUAUUAAAAAAUUCAUUUUGAGUAUAUUAAAAAAUGUAAUUCCAAGUUUACCCUUUCGUUGUCUUACUUUUUAUUACCAAAACUUGAGUAUAUUAAAAACAAAUAAAAAUAAAAAAGUAUAAGGAUUUAUUCUGAUUCGAUAAAAUAUAGUGCAUUUUUUAAAUACCAAUAGUUAGUAUUUGAAUGUUUAUUUGAAGUUUUUGCAAGUUACAAAGAUAAUGUUUUGGGUAGUCUAUAAAGUGUUUUUGAGUUAAUUUAUGAAUCUUUUACAUAUUUUCAAUUUUAUUUUAUUUUUUUGGUCCAAACUGAUGUAUUGAAAACGAAAAAGAUACAAGAAGAAAAAAGGAGAGUUUUUGGAGAAAAUGAAAGAAAUCGAACUGAUUAUAUUUGAUCAAUGUCUUGAAAGUAGUAGAAUAUUAAAAUAUACCAAAUCAUAUACAAUGCUUCUAUAUGGCUGACCUUCUCCACGCGUGUUAGGACUACAACAUAACCGGUCUGUUAGUACUUUUAUUUCCAAAUAUACGUGUCAUGCUAUGCUACUCUACCUAUGAUAGGAACGGUCAAUACCCUUCCCACCAUAAAGGUUUCCCCUAGGAGUACAACAUAAUCAGUCCGUUAGCACAUUUAUUUUCAAAUAUACGUGUCAUACUCUGCUACUCUACCUAUGAUAGGAACGGUCAAUGCCCUUCCCACCAUAAAGGGGAACCCUGGGGGUACGAUGGGUCAUUCUAAUACCCAAUGAAAUGAUGCCAUUUUGAAGAAGCUCCGACGUUUCACCAAGUGGUCCUUAACAAUAAUCUUCCGUACAUGGUAAAUUCAAUCAAAUUUUACAUCUUUUAACCGUUGACGAUGCUGUGAUUUCUUCUCAAUAAUAAUCUUCCGUACAUGGUAAAUUCAGUCAAAGAUAAAGUUUAAAAAAAAGAAAAAAGUGCUGGAAGUUCUUCAUUUCUUCGUCUAUUGGAGAAAUCUUUCAUGAAGGCUGUAGCAAAAGGGUGUAAUGAACAUAUAGCAGAAGCUGAAUUUUUAUUUUGAACUGAAUGCUUGCGUAUUUAUCAUGUAUUUAAAGCAGCUACUUAUACAUUAUCAAUGUAAAUAAGAUUAAUCCAUAAAUAUUAUAUUUUUGUUCCAAAGAUAUAAUUUGUAUUAAAUUAUAAUAGUUGCCCAUUGAGACGCCACUCUCCUGAUUAGGUAUAUACAAAUUUUACAUUCUCUAGAGUAGGUAAUUUACUUCCUGUAAGGAGGAUUUGUGCACUCAAGGCAAAGGCGUGAAGUUUCUGACAACGUUCAUAACGUGCCUUAACGUGCUCAAGGUAAAGUUUCUAGAACGCACAUAAAUAAAAGCUCAUCUGCAAAUGGGCAUAUGUUCCCCAUUUAUUCAAGUAUAAAACUACACGCGUGUUUCUAAUAAUAUCAAAUCUGGUUAAACACUGGUUAAUAGUAAAUUCUUAAAUACAUUUAGUGGUCAAAGUAAAUUCUUGAAUAUAUACUAUGAACACAUAUCAAAUUGCCUUUGCACCUUCGAACUCUGGUCAAUGAGAUGCCAAAGCACAUUCAUCAAUCAGUUACAAAUAUGAUAGAAAUAUUGCAGCAAACAACGGAUCAGCAAUGAAAAAUAUUAAACAAGAAAUAAAGAACUCAAGAAGCAUUUUUCAAACGAACAAUGCAUUACGAGUGAUUAAAAAGAAAAUCUCUAACCAAGUCCAAAUUCAACGAGUCGAAGAACAACUCUUUAGAUUCACGGUUCUUGAUGUUUCAAAUGCUUGGAUUGAGAAGCAUUUGAUGAAUCUGUAGGAAAAGUGGCGAACAGUGUUAACACGAAAAUACAAAUGAAUUGAACAAGCUUGAGUCGUGUUUGAAGAACACUGUCCUAAGAAACUAUUUCAGGUGUAUUGAAAUGUUUUCCCAGGAUUAAACAAGCCUUUCUCUUCUAUCAAGAGGGAAUUUGAACCAGCUAAUUUUUAGUCCAGCAAUAAGCGAGAGAGGGAGUAGAGAGAGCAGAGAGUAGAAGUUGAGAAUUACAAUGUGUGUGCCGUGCCAUACAAAUGAAUCUGCCCAAGGCCUCUAUUUAUAGCCUCUAUAAAGCGUUAGUAAAGAAUAGAUAUUAUCUCUUUGUUUGUUUAGAAAAAUCAGGAAGCGUGCAAUUUCAAAGCCUUUGGAAAUAGUCAAACAAACUUCAAAGAACGUUAUAAGCUUUAAACGUUAGAGCCUUUGGAAAGAGUCAAACAAACCAAUUCCAAGCUUUAACUUUGUUUGUUUGAAAGUUGUGGGAUAACAUAAUGCUCCACGUUUCGGUUUAAACCCAUGUGCAUGCCAACAACUUUAUCCGAUAGAAACUACCUGAUAGAGUAUGAAAUUGUCAGAGCAUGACCAUGAGUUUUAAAAUAACACGUGUAGUAACAAAUCUUUUGAAAUAUACAACAAUCUCCCACCUAUUUCAAAAGAUUUUAUAUAAAAUAAUGAAAAGAAAAUAUGCUGGACUUGUUUGGUUUCAAUGUAAUUAAUUUGGUGUUUUUUGGACUAUGAACCAAAUUUAGAUUGAUAAAACAUGUCUUACAGAAUUAUUGGUGAAAUAUGAAUUUCUAUGAACCAAUAACUCUUAUUGUAUGACAGAGAUUCUAUCAAUCACAUUGUAACCCAUAAUUUGCUGUUCAAUGCGAUGUCGCGCUUUUUAGGCCAUACGUCUGCCUGAGUAUUCAUGAGAGCUCUAAAGAUUCGGCCAGAUAAUCUUAUAGGAGCGGUCCCACUCUACUCUCAUAUAGGUGAAUUCAUCAAGUGUAUACUGCUCUAAAUACACCUCCCUAAAGGGAUAUGAAUUCAUUAAGAGUUUUAACUCAACCUCAUAACUAUUAGCAGUUAAAGCACUCGUUUCAAAAGGGACUUAAACUUAAUAGUGCUUUACAGUCAAUAUUGACUUGUUAUUACCCAUAUGAACCUAUUUCAUGGGAUUACCAAUCACAUAGGUUGGGUUACCAUCUUUAUUGACUACUGUUGGCCUAAGUCCCAUUUCCCUUGUAGUUUGAAGAAUUAAUUUUCUUCCUAAAGGUUUAGUCAGAGGAUCGGCCAAAUUCAAUUCUGAUUUCACAAAAUUAAUGAAAAUUAUUCCAUCUUUAAGCAGCUGCUUUACGACAUCAUGUCUUAAUUUCAUAUGUCGACUUUUACAAUUAUAAGAUUUAUUUUUAACUAUGGCAAUCGCUGCUUGACAGUCACAAUGUAUGGACACAGGAGGCAACAAAUCCCCAGUUGAAGGAAUAUUAGCUAAGAAAUUUCUCAACCACUCGGCUUCAGUCCCUGUCAGUUCCAGAGCUACAAACUCUGACUCUAUUGUUGAUCUAGCAUAUUUCCAUGCUAUUGCACCACCACCAAGGGUGAACAUAUAACCACUAGUGGAUUUCGUAUCAUUUGAAUCAGAGAUCCAAUUAGCAUCACUGUAACCCUCUAAUACAGUGGGAAAUCCACUAUACAGGAUACCAAAAUUCAUGGUACCUCUCAAAUAUUUCAUUAGUCUGACUAAUGCAAACCAAUGGUCACGAUUGGGAUUAUGAGUAUAUCUAUUCAGUCUACAUACAGCAUAAGCUAUAUCAGGUCUAGUGAAAUUCAUUAGGUGCAUCAGACUCCUAAUAAUCUGAGCAUAUUUAGACUGAGCAAUUGGGUCACCGUUAUUUUUCUUUAAUUGUGUGCAAGCAUCAUAAGGAGUGCUCACAGGAGUCACAUCAUAAUUUUCAAACUUCCUAAGAAGUCUCUCUGUAUAAUGUUCUUGAGACAACAUUAUACCAUCAUCUCUCCUUAUGAUUUUAACACCCAAUAUCAUUUUAACUUCACCCAAAUCUUUCAUAUCAAAAGUAGAAGACAAAAAAUAUUUAGUACUAUUAACAAUAUUUAAACUAGUACCAAAUAUAAGCAUGUCAUCCACAUACAAACUAACUAUCACAUAUUCAUCAUUUACAACUUUAGUAUAUACACAUUUAUCCACUUCUACAGACGAAAAACCGUCUCGUAUCAAAACUUGAUCAAACUUCUCAUGCCACUGUUUAGGAGCUUGUUUUAUGCCAUAAAGAGAUUUUACUAAUUUACAAACUUUAUUUUCUUGUCCAGACACAACACAUCCCUCAGGUUGAGUCAUAUAAAUUUCUUCUUCUAAAUCACCAUUUAGAAAAGCUGUUUUGACAUCCAUUUGAUGAACGAAAAGUUUAUGGAUAGAAGCCAAAGCAAAUAAAACCCGAAUAGAAGAAAUUCUUGUUACUGGUGCAAAUGUGUCAAAAUAGUCAAUAUUCUGUUUUUUAGAAAAUCCUUUGGCCACUAAACGAGCUUUAUAUUUAUCUAUAGAGCCAUCGGAAUUAUAUUUCCUUUUAAAAAUCCAUUUGCAACCAAUAGGUUUUGCACCAGUUGGUAAAUCUACCAAAAUCCAAGUUUUAUUGUUCAUAAUAGAAUCAAAUUCAGCUUUAAUUGCUUCUUUCCAAAGUUUAUUAUCAGAAGAAGAAAUAGCAUCAGAAUAAGUUAAAGGAUUAUUGUCAACAAGAAAGGUUUGAAAGUCAUUUCCAAAAGAAAAUUCUUUUCUUGCCCUUUUAUUCCUUCUCAAUUCCUCAUUUGAGACUAUUUCUCUAUUUACUUCAACAGGUGCAUGAGAAAUUUUAUUCGAUAGCGGAAAAAUAUGUUCAAAAAAUUCAGCAUUUUUUGUCUCUAUAAUUGUAUUACAAUCAAGCAUAUCAUUUCUUUACACAAGAAAUCUAUAUGCAGCACUAUGUUCAGCAUAUCCAAUAAACAUACAAUCAGAAGUUUUAGAACCUAUUUUCCUUUUCUUAGGUUCAGGCAACAAGACUUUAGCAAGACACCCCCAAACUUUUAAAUAUUUCAAAUUUGGUUUAUAAUUUUUCCAUAACUCAUAAGGUGUUUUGCCAGUCUUUUUAUGUGGAAUUCUAUUUUGUAAGUGACAUGCAGAUAAUAUAGCUUCUCCCCAUAAAUUAUCUGGAGCAUGAGAACUAACUAACAUAGAGUUCAUCAUUUCUUUUAACGUUCUAUUUUUUCUUUCAGCUACUCCAUUAGAUUCUGGUGUAUAAGGUGGAGUUAUUUCAUGUAUUAUGCCUUCCUGUUCACAAAGGUUAUCUAAAGUUAAAUAUUCUCCACCCCUAUCUGAUCUAAUUCUUUUUAUCCUUUUAUUAAGUUGAUUUUCUAAUUCAGACUUAUAGGAUAAAAAGGCAUUAUAAGUAUCAUCUUUAUUUCUAAGUAAAUAAACUUUGAUAUAUCUAGAAUAGUCAUCUAUAAAAGUGACAUAGUACCUUUUCCCACCUCUAGUCAUUGUUUGUUUUAAUUCACCUAAAUCAGUAUGAAUUAAAUUUAAUAAUUCAGUUUCUCUAUGGACAGUUAUACAAUUUUUCUUUGUUAUUUUAGCUUCUGCACAUAUUUCACAUUUGUCCAUAUUAUCAUUAAUACCAGAAAUUAGGCCACAUGAUUGCAUUUUCUUUAUAUAACCAAUAUUAACAUGUCCUAAUCUAGCAUGCCAUAAAGAAAUGGAAUCAACAAUAUAAGCAGAAGAAGAUGCAUUUUCAUUGAUCACAUCAGAAAUGUUGAGUACAAAGAGUCCCUGAUUACAAUAGCCUUUGCCCACAAAUACAUUAUUUUUGGUCAUUAUAAUCUUGCCAGAUUCAAAUGACACUUUCACUCCAACUUUUCCUAGCAAAGCUACGGAAACCAGAUUUGCCUGAAUGUUUGGCACAUGCAGCACAUCAAUAAGAGCCAAAGUUUUUCCUGAAGUGAGUUUCAAGAGUACUUUGCCCUUACCCAAAACUUUAACAGUUCGUGAGUCACCAAGGUAAACCACUUCUUCAUCAUCCCCUAUAGAAGUAUAGGAGGAAAAUGCUUCUCGACUUGCACAUAUGUGUCGAGUAGCCUCAGAGUCUACCACUCACUCUUUUACAUUAGCUGCAAUGUACACUUGGGAUAUGACAGCAGCAAUUAUAUCAUCUCCUUCGGUUAGGUGCACCUUAGGAGGAUUAACAUUUGCUUUGUCACCUUUAUUGUGUCUACAUUGGGCCAAAUGAUGUCCUGAUUUUUCACAAUAAUAGCAAUUGCCUUUCUUUCUCUUAAAGUUGGGAUUGUUGGGCUUGUAAUUUUGGGAUUUAUUGGCGUACCUUUUGUUCUUGUUGUUGUUGUUUUGAACGUUGCUUCGUAUCAGGUUCGCAUUGAGACUCAUUUCUUUAGCUCUGGCAGCUCUCAUUUCUUUCUUGUUGGCAUCUUCAAUGAGAAUGUGCUUCACGAGCUCAUCAAUAGUGUAGUUUUUCUGCUUGUGCUUCAGGUUGUUUUUGUAGUCAAUCCACGACUCGGGCAAUUUUUCAAUUAGCAUGCUUGCUGCAAAUUUUUCAGGCAAAUUGAUGUCUUCACUUUUCAAGUCCUCGAGUAGCAUCUGGUAUUCCGUGAUUUGGACUUUCAUUUCUUUGUCUUCCGUCAUCUGCCAUUGAUUGUAUCUUCCAAUGACGAACUUUUGUUUGGUUGCAUCUUCAGCGGUGAAUUUUGUUACCAAGGCUUCCCAAAUUAUUUUGGCCUUCUUACAGCUACAGUACACGUCAAACAGUUCAUUUGAAAGCGUUUGCAAAAUAGUAUGCCUACAUACCUUAUUGGCAUAUUGCCAUGAUUCUUGUGUUUUGACAUCUGUGGUUGAAGCAGGCUGGGACUCCGUCAGUGCAUAGGCCACUCCAUGGAUGUCGAGUAGUGAGUGUACUCGUUCUUGCCACCUUUUGAAAUUUUCAUUGGCAAAGACUUUAACUCUGGAGAUAUCCGGAAAUGGCUUGGCGAAUGGUAGUGCAACUGCAACGGCCGUGGAUGAAGGUUGUGGGGUGAUAACACUGUCAGAUGCCAUAGUUUCUUAGAUUGUAGGAAAAGUGGCGAACAGUGUUAACACGAAAAUACAAAUGAAUUGAACAAACUUGAGUCGUGUUUGAAGAACACUUUCCUAAGAAACUAUUUCAGGUGUAUUGAAAUGUUUCCCCAUGAUUAAACAAGCCUUCCUCUUCUAUCAAGAGGGAAUUUGAACCAGCUAAUUUUUAGUCCAGCAAUAAGCGAGAGAGGGAGUAGAGAGAGUAGAGGGUAGAAGUUGAGAAUUACAAUGUGUGUGUCGUGCCAUACAAAUGAAUCUGCCCAAGGCCUCUAUUUAUAGCCUCUGUAAAGCGUUAGUAAAGAAUAGAUAUUAUCUCUUUGUUUGUUUAGAAAAAUCAGGACACAUGCAAUUUCAAAGCCUUUGGAAAUAGUCAAACAAACUUCAAGGAACGUUAUAAGCUUUAAACGUUAGAGCCUUUGGAAAGAGUCAAACAAACCAAUUCCAAGCUGAUAGGUUGCAAUUUUAUCAUUUAUUUUAUUAUUAAUUUUUCCUAUUACCUGACCUAAUGUGGAUUAAUUGCUAGAUUCUACUCACUUUUGAUAUUUUGCAUUUAUUUCAGGGAAUAGAACGAAAAUAUAAUAACAGGUGCUAAUUUGGCAAGAAAAGAGUUCAGAUGAUAGAGUUUGUCCUAGGGCAUUUUUGGAACAACAAAACAUGAGCCCUUGUUGGGCAAAUUGGGCAAGUCUUCAUUUUCCCGCACAGGAGCCGCCGCAAGGGCACUACUUUAUAUAGAAAACUUGCGCAGGAAAAGGGGGAGCUGCUUCCUCUCCGGAAGGGGGCCGCUGCACAAGGCCAGACAGUAGCAAUAGGCCAUUAGGAUAGAAACUAUUAGAUUGCAGAGAACAAGCACUAUCUUUUUCUAGCUUCACUUUGACUUUUCUUCCUAGCUUUUCAUUGCUUUUCUCCACGCAUGUCAGGAGGAAGCAAUUCUUAGUUUUAGCUUGUGACUUUUCCUUUUUCGUCUUUUAGUGGUUUGCUUCCUGCGGAUGUCCAGACCGAAGGAAAACUAUGAAGUACCUUUUGUAGCUUUCUUUCUUUAUUGAAUAGACGAAUUGAAUUCGCCCAACUUCCGAAUUGAUGGCCGCAGCUUUUGCUUUAAUUUCUUGUGGAUUUUGUUCAUCAACUAUGAACUAAUUUCCUCACCCUAGCCAAGGGACAACGGAUGCUUUGGGUCGCCUAAAAUUGUGAGAUCGAUUUAAUUUUAUUUUUUUCUUUUAUUUAUUGGUAUUCGCAUAUUUCCUGGUUACAGUGCUUAUGAUUGUUUAAUUAAUUGGUUGUCUUGGAUCCGGAUAAUUAGUUAAUUUGAUAAUCUAUUAUCAAUUGGGACGUUAAAUCCGUAAUUGUUUAAUUGUCUCAAAAUAGUGAUAACUGGCAUGAUUGGAUUUGUGUCAGGGGAAUACGCGGGCUAAUCUAAAAUAACCCUGGUAGUGCGUUAUUUGGUUAGAAUAGGGCUCCUCUAAUACGUAAGGCAAUUGGGGAAUUAAAUCUUACGGGCGUACCUAGGAUUAUUUCUCAAUUAGAGCAGUGAUUAACGGGCGUACCUUAAUCACCGACACAGUAAGAAGGGGUUGACUGCCAUCGUUUGUUUGGUAGUUAUAACUUAUUUAUUGAUGAAUAAUUGGAAUUGCCUUUGCUGAUCGAUGAUCAAUUAGGUGAACCAUUGCUGAAGUUAUUUCUUGGCUAGAUCCUUAAUUACCACUUAUUAGAUUUUAGUAAAUUGUUAUUUAAUUUCUAGUUGGCUAUUUUAUUUUUAUCAUUUUAUUUUUAGUUGGAUUGGUUAAAUUGUCACUCCUGAUAUAAAACACCCCCUUUGUCACUGUGAACUUGAAAAGAAACAAUUACUCCCAGUCCCUGUGGAUUCGACCCUGCUCACCACUAUCUACAGAAAUUAUUUUUAGUUUGAGCAGGUAUUUAUUAUUGCACAGGCUUCGACAACCUGUCACAAGCUUUAACUUUGUUUGUUUGAAAGUUGUGGGAUAACAUAAUGCUCUACGUUUCGGUUUAAACCCAUGUGCAUGCCAACAACUUUAUCCGAUAGAAACUACCUGAUAGAGUAUGAAAUUGUCAGAGCAUGACCAUGAGUUUUAAAAUAACACGUGUAGUAACAAAUCUUUUGAAAUAUACAACAGAAUCAAAUUCUCAAGAUUUGAGUUAGAAUCUGUCACAGCCAUUUCUGCCAGUUUUUUCCGGUCCAUGGCUUUCUUCUUCAUUUCCUUGCCCUUCUCCCCAGCCAUUAACUCGCUAACAAGGCUUUCAAUGUCAUCCCUCUUGACAUUAUUGUCUAUCUCCAUUCCAAUACCCCAUUUAUUGCAGCAAAACCAGCAAUUAGUUUGUUGAUCAGCAAAAAAUGGCCAGCAGAACAAAGGCACCCCAUAACUAAUACUUUCGAUUGUGGAAUUCCACCCACUAUGAGUUAAGAAUCCUCCAACAGAAGGAUGGCUGAGAACUUUCUCGAGGGCAACAGCCUGCAAACAUGCUUCUUUCUUUGGUUUCUUCAAAAAACUCACUUGGCAGAAUAGCAGAACUGCCUGAGACAAGAUCUGGCCUUAAAAUCCACAAAAAGUUUCGUUUGCUAUUAGCAAGUCGGGUCCCCAAGCAAAUUCGACUAGUUGCUCAGGUGUCAUAACAGCAAUGCUUCCAAAGUUGACAUAAACCACAGAGUUUGGAUCUUUCAAAUCAAGCCAUUCAAGACAUUCUGGCUCUUCCUUCCAGAGAUUUGAUUGAAUAUCUGGUAAAGACUUAUCAUGCACAUGAUUAUCAAGGAAGUGUAGUGGUCCAAUGGUGUAAAUUGGUGGAAGAUAAGAUGAAAGUGCAUCUAAUACACCAUGUUCGAGUUGUUGAUAGGUGUUUAUAAUGAUGGCAGAAGCCUUUCUAGCUCUCUGAGUUUCUUGCAGGACGAAUUUCACCAUAAAAUCAUCGGGAUUCGUGGUUCGUAAGAAGCUUGGAAGAUCCUUCAAGCGUAUACCCUCUAAUUCUGGAAUCCAGUCUAGAACAGUAUCUAGAUAUCCAUUUGUCAAAUAACUGGCAUCUGCAAGGCAUAAGAUGUACGAUACCAUGCAUCAUCAGAAUCAUUCAAGGGCAACUUGGGCAGUGCAAAAUUUGAUGCUUUUUACAUAGUCAUAUUCUUGAAAAACAAAUAUUUUCCAACUUAGUUAAAAGAAAAAAGAAAUCUUACACUUUCUUAUUCAUUAAAUUAAAAUUUGACUACAAAGUCAAUGUUAUGCGUGGGUACAAAUGGGAUAAAACCACUGGUGCAAGCUACAAUGCAGUGGGUACAAAUGGGAGAAAGUAUCUUUUGCCUGCCCUUGUUGACCCUAACACUUUAGAGUGCUCCACUAUUGUGUGAAAAAAACACAUUGUACAUUUUACUUUUUUUGUUAAUGUAAAUAUUAAUAUUAAGUAAUUUUCAUAUUCAAUUUUCAAAAGCUGCUGCUUCCUUUUCUUUUUUUUUUUUUUUCCUUUUUCCUAACAUUUUCCUUACGAAGGUCAAGUUUAAUUUUCCAUAAGAGAGAAAAGUAGAUGUACAAUCCCAAUGUGACCAAUUUUUGAUGCCUUCAUUUAGAUUUCAUAUUUCUUUUGGUUUGUUUAUUUAAGUGAUAUUAAUUACAAGUUAGAACUCAAGAUGCAAGGGCUCUAAGUUGAGCUGACCUUUGGUUCAUAUUUUUUAAUUACAUUUUUAUCUCGCAUAUAUUAAAUCAUUACAGUAUAUUUUUCAAUAAAAAUUUUAAAAAAUAGUAAUCCAAAUGCAACUGAUUUCAUAUUUCUUUUAGUUUGUUUAAUUGAGUGAGUUAAGUUACAACUUAGAACUCAAGAUGCAUGGGCUUUAAGUUGAGUCAGCCCAAAGUAGGGUGGAGUGGCUUGGAUUUGGCCUUGUUCAGAUUGAAGUUUUUCAAAGAAUUUUUUUCAUGUCCACAUUUUCUAAUCACUUUUUUACCAUGUAUACAUCAAAUUAUUACAAUAUUUUUCACUGGUUCUGUAAACCAAAAAAAAAAGCCAAGGACUUGAACCUAGUAAGCUAAUAUCAAUCCACUCAUUGCUAAUCAGAAGCAAGAGGUACUGCACGCCCAAAAUUUUCCCCUACAGGUAUCAUGCAUUGGGAUCAUCACUCUCCAAAGGCAUAAACCCUCUAAGAUAAUCCAAAUUUUGAAGAAAUACCUUUCAUCUCAGCUCGUGCAUGCAGUUCUCAUGAAAACAAAUCUCUAUGCUUGUACUCAAAGAAAACAAAAAGAAAAUUCCAGUUGAGACUUCCUCAGUGACAGAACGAAAUCCAAAUGCACCGAAUUAUCAUAUUUACUCUAAACUAGAGCGAAAAAUGAAACCCAAAGGACAUCUAUCACACAACUAAAAGCUACUCAACGUAAUUUUCUUACCAAACCCUACUUUAUCAAAAAGUUGAUUUCCUGUUUUACCUUUUGUUUCGACCAUAUGCGACACCACCCCUAUCAGCUACAAUAACAAUGUCCAACUAGUAAACAUUCGACUCAACAAUUUUCUAUUAAUCAACCAUUGUCUCGUUAUCUAGGGCAAUCUCUAUUCAGUUACUUGUUGAGGUAAAUAUUUAUUUAAAUAAUAUACACUGUCUAGUAAUUUUCUUCUCUUUGUUGUUAUUUGGCCAUGAAACAGCACAGGUAAAGCCUCCACAACUCGAAGAAAGUUGCUCGGUUUGUCCAUCAUUCCCCCUCUUCAAAUUAUCCCCAAAUGUCUCCUUUUCUUCCCCAGGAUUUCUUUGCUUCAUGAAUUAGCUCUUUAAUUUUAUACCAGUAAACAGAUUCCACCCAAAAAAAAAAUUUAAAACCCACAUUUCUAUUUAUUCAAUCAUUCGAAUUUCGUUAACUUCAGCAGCUUUCAUUCAGUUUCCAUAGCUACAUAUCCUAUUGAAUGAUAAAAAGAAGGGGGCAAAAAAAAAAAAGAAUAACAAUAUAAAUUUAAAAACAAUCAUAUUGCUAUUUAUUUACUUCAUAAAACCUAAAAUAUCGUGAACAAACAGAACCCCAAAUUAAUCAAAACCUCAGAUCAAUCCCUUUCAAUGAAUUAGGCAGGAAAAAAAAUGACAGAAUAAACGACGCCGCACGCAGAUACACGCGGACAAGUGUGUGUCUGUGUGUGAUGUUACAUACAUAUUUGAAGGAAAUUUCCCAAGUUAAUAAAAUUCCGUAGAAAAGGAAUUAAUUACCAGAGAAUUAGAGGCCUGAAGAUGGACGGAAGAGCAGAAAGGCAGUGAGCAUAAUUCUAGAAAAAGAUUGAAAGAGCCGAAACACACACACACACACACACACGUAUUGUUCACGCCUUUUCCUAUCAAUCCAAAUGCAACCUAAUGUAUCAUGCUUCCUACGUCCCGGCCUAAAGGUGCAAACCUUUGAGCUUAGAUGAAUAUCGCGCCUUAAUGCACUCAAGGAAAAGGCGUGAAGUUUCGGACAAUGCUCGUAACGCGCCCUAAUGUACUCAAGGCAAAGGUCUUUGUAGGACGCACACAUAUAAUCCUGAGUAACAUCCUACAAUGCCCUUUAGUCUCACGAUGGUUAGUAGUUUCGGUUUGGAUGAUGCAUUUUAGAACGGACAAACUCUUAUUUCAAUUUCACUUAAUGAUCAAAGUAAAUUCUUGCGAACAAACUACGUUUAGGGCAUAAGUGCGAAAGUACAUUAAUCAAGACCAGUUAUAACACAUGAUUCAAGUAUUAGAGCAAACAACCUUUGAGUACGAAAGAAACAUGAAACAAAGAAGUGAAGAAACAUUUAUUAGUUUCAAUAGCAAACCAUGCACGUAUGAGUACUUGAAAAAGAAAAUCUCUAACCAUAUCCGAACUUCAAUGAGCCGAAGAACAAUAAUCUUGGAUCUAUAAUAAUCUCUAACCAUUGGAAAAGUUUGGUUUAAUUAUGACACUACAUUUGUGGGUUUCAGCAGUUGUAAACAUUGCAUAGAUUUUUUUUUUUUUAAUCCAUUGUGUGAGAAGCACACACUGUAUCAUGGGUGAUUUGUUUAUUUCGUGUAAUUAUCAAUAUAAGUGAUAUUCACAUUUAAUUUUCAAAAAAACUGCAUCUUUUUUUUAAAAAAAAAAAACUUUCAUUCUUCCCAACAUUUUCUUACAAAGAUCAUGUUUAAUUUUUCAUAAGAGAGAACAGUAGGCACACAAUCCCCAAGCGACCAAUUUUGUUUGCCCAGGUGAGUUUUUCUUUUAGUGACAUUUUGACCCCAAAAAAAAAAGUGAGUUUUUGUUUUUCUCUUGUUAACGAGUGAGCUUAAAGACAAGCCGAGAAACAAGGGUUCCAAGUUGAGCUGGCCCAUAAUACGAUGAAAGGGAGGCAUGGAAAUGGUAGUAAACCAUGCCUUCUGUAUCCCAGCCUAUAGGCCCAAACAUCUGAGCUUAGAGGAUUUAUGCACUCUAGGUAAAGGCGUGAAGUUUCUGACAACGUUCGUAACUUGCCAUAAUAUACCCAAGGUAAAUUUUUUUAUUUUUUAUUUAUUUUAAGAUGAAGGGUUUGUUUGAUAGGACCGUCGAUAGGGCCUAGACUCGAGUUAGUUGGGCCCACUCAACCUGAUUAAAAGAUCCAUGAAUCUAAUCUUCCAUUGACUUAGCUUGAAUUUAACUUAAAUACGAGAUCCGAAUUAAAUGCAAGCCAAGUUUGAAUUUUAUCAGCCUCAAGUUUGAUACAUGCCUGACCCGUUAAUUUAUACCUAUAUAUAUAAUUAUCUAUAUAAUAGGUGUAUUUAAUUAUAUCCAAAUAAAUAUAUAAUUACUAAAUCCUGCCUUUGUAUGUCGUCUAAAUCACCCCUAAUAUUAGGAAUGUCAUUGAUGAUGUUAUAACUAUGUCGUCUUUCUGUUUCUAAAGUUGUAUUAGAUAAAGUUGGCAGGGACCAAGUCAAGCUCACUGUUGUAUUACUGCUAUCUGUCAUGAAUAUUAAUUUCAAAUUUUUGUUUUAAAAAAGUUUUAAUGUUGUGGUCCUAUGAAUAUUAAAUUAAUUUUAAAACUUAAUAGUUCUAAUAAUUAUAUUGGGUUAAAUCCAAAUUAGGCUCAUAGUAGAAUAUUUUGUGAGUCAAGUAUGAGUUUUAUAUUUAUCAACCCAAAAUUCAUAAUUCAAAAUCCGAAAGUGGUACUAAUUAUAUGGGUUAAAUUUGGACUUAUUAAAAUCUGAGUCAGAUGGCCUGGUUGAUAGGCUUAGUUUUUUGGAAUUCAAUUGACAAGUUUAGUUUUUUAGGACGCAAUAAAUAGAAGCUCAUCUGCAUAUCAGCUUAUGUUCCACCUUUAUUUAAGUCAAAGUGCACACUUCCUUGUACUAUAUAAAAAUGAGUUGUAGUCAAAGAGUAGUUUUGAAUUUCAACCGCAUAAAUAGGAGUAUUUCGGAAUGUGGAAUGAUGUGGAGUAUAUUUUUAGUUUUGGGUACAAGUGAUGGUAGCAUAUGUUUUGGUAUGUGUACAAAAAAGGCCUCAUGUUUGUACAUUUAAAGCAUAUAUUUAUGGAAAUAUUUGAAUAUUUUUGGAAUGUGGAAUUAUUUUAUAAUUAUUUUUGCAGCGGGUACAAGUCAUACAAAUUUAUGUAUUGAUGUAAUUACUUAAAUGGUGUUAGACACAUUUGCUUGAAGUGUAGUACUUAUUGUGCAAUUGAAAUGAGGACACAUUACUAUAAUCUUACCACUUGAGGAUAUUCAAUUGCCUGAAACAUAUUCAAUUGUCUUUACCAUUUACAUCUCAAUUAAACUGAAGAAAACGUGGGUAUGUUAAUGAAUUAAUACCCCAGUACCGGUUAUGAUUGUUCAAAUGUCUUCUCCUUCACAGCUUUCGAUUUUUUUUUUUCAACUUCCAGGAUUGGGAUAUUUUUGCUGCCUUUAUGCUCUGCAUUCCAAAAUAGUUUUCAGGCGAAAGUAUUUUUAGUGGUUUAGCUUGAGGUGAGUUUUGUUCUUUAAUUUUAUUGUUUAUGUGGGUGAGUUUGGUGGCGUGUAGCAUCGGGUGACUGCUUCCAUCACAAAAUUUGAAAAUCUAAUUGCGUAAUUUAACUGUAAUAUUAUGAUUUUCCCACAAAUUUGGUUGGUCUGUGUAAUUUGAAUGGUAUGGUUAUGAUGUAAUAGAUUUGGAGCAAUUGCAAGAAAAAGUUUUCCUAAGGGUAUCUAGAGUAAGGUAAGCCAAAAAAUAUAGUUCAGUUAUGGUCUGUUUUAUGCUGCAUGCAGUAAGUGAUUCAUGUAUGGAAUUCAUUUUCAUAGUAAUUUGAUAUUAAAACAUUAUGAAUUGGUAGUUUCCAUGGUAUACUGCUGAUUUGAGUUUGAAUUAUUUAGUCACUAAUGAAUUAAUAAAAUAAACGCCUUCUAAGCCAUUCAUAUUGGAAGUGUUUUACAUAUACCUUCUAAUUAAGCAGCAGUAAUAGAGAUGGUUCGAUUUCCUUAGACAGUGAUGAAUUUGUAAAAGCUCCUUUGAGCAAACAACUUCAAUGAGUGCUUUCUUAUAUUAUAGAACAACGAAUGCUUUCUUAUACACAUACACAAAACUAAAAUUGCUGCAAAAAACUAAAAAGUUGAACCAAAAAGAUGCGAAACAAAACCUCACACUAUACAAGAUGAGUGUGAAUUUGAAUUUUAACCCCAAGAACAGAUAUAUAACUAAUGAAAUCCAUGAAAUGUAAAUUGAAUAACAAUCUGAAGAAAGGGAAACUUAAAUAACUUUUUACAGAUGCUAUAAUCCUUAUUGAUCAACAAGUUGAUUAACAUUUUAACCCCAAGAAUAGACAUAUAGCUAAUGAAAUUACCCAUAAUCUGUGAAAUGCAAUUUGAAUAAUAAUUUAAAGAAAGGGAGACUUAAAUGGCUUUUGUAGACAAUCUAUUAUUGAAACAUAUGCUAUGAAAUAUUAUCGUUUAGUAUGAUAUCCCACUCUUAUCUUCAUUCAUUUACUCUCCCACCAGUUUAAAUACUUUCGAAACUCCACGAAAUAACAACACAACCACUAACAAACAAUUGUUUAGAAAACUUUUUUAACCACAAGCACCAAACACCUGUGCGAUGCAUGGGUACUCUCUCCCUAGUAUUUUCAAAUAAUGUCAUCUGGUUAAGCACUGGUUAAUAGGAGCCCAAAAGUGUCAAGUAAAGUGCACCAAAAUCAGAUGAAUUGCCUAUAUUAACAGGAUUUACUUUCUAUACAUUGUUAAUAUAGUGAUUUUUUUUAUACAAGCAAUCAUGAAUGUAUGUUAUGUGUAUGAUUUGAAUUUCAAAUUUAAAUAUAUAUUAUGUAAUGUGAUCUAACCUGUUAGUAUAAAAAAAUUUAUCUACUAUAAUGUAUAUAUUAAUAUUAAUAAGGAGCACUUCUCAGAAGAAUUCUUUGUUUCGAUGGACUUUUCUAGCAAGUGCAUAGGGUCACUUGUUAGACAAAUUCAAAUUUCAUAUGUUCCAACAUCCGAUGAAGGAGAAAUUCUUAUGUAAAAUUGCACAACCAGCCAUCUUUAGGCCAAAUUAAAUUGUAGUACAACAUUUUAUCAACUUAAAUCAUAAUCGUUCUUUCUGUAAAGUCGUACAUUUAGCGUAGUUUCGUUUAGGAUUUGUUUUAUCUUUAAAUACAUUUAGCGGUCAAAGUAAAUUCUUAAACACAUUUCAAAUUGCGUUUGCACCUUCGAACUCGGGUCAAUGCGAUGGGGCCAUUUUCUCUAAGAAGUCAUAAAUCGAACUUUUUGUUAGUAACUGGAGCUCAAGUCAUGUAUGUAAAAUUGUCCAAGCUACGUUUAUGAAUGCCAAAGUACAUUAAUCAAUCAGUUACACAUAUUGAAAUAUUGCAGCAAACAACGGAUCAGCAAUUGAAAAAAAUUAAACAUGAAAUAACUCGAGAAACAUUUUUCAAAACAAACCAUGCAUGUAUGAGUAAUUAAAAAGAAAAUCUCUAACCAAAUCUCAAAUUCAAUGAGCCCAACAACUCUAUAAAUUCACGGUUCUUGAUGUAUCAAAUACUUGGAUUGAGAAGCACUUGAUGAAUCAAAUUCUCAAGAUUCAAGUUAGAAUCUGUCACGGCCGUUUCUGCCAAUUUUUUCCAGUCCAUGGCCUUUUUCUUCAUUUCCUUACCUUUCUCUCCAGCCAUUAACUCGCUAACAAGGCCUUCAACCUCAUCCCUCUUGACAUUAUUGUCUAUCUCCAUUCCAAUACCCCAUUUUGUGCAGCAAAACCAGCAAUUAGUUUGUUGGUCAGCAAAAAAUGGCCAGCAGAUCAUAGGCACCCCAUAACUAAUACUUUCGAUUGUGGAAUUCCACCCACUAUGAGUUAAGAAUCCUCCAACAGAAGGAUGUCUGAGAACUUUCUCUUGAGGGCACCAGCCUGCAAACAUACUUCUUUCUUUGGUUUCUUCAAGAAAUUCACUUGGCAGAAUAGCUGAACUGCCUGAGACAAGAUCUGGCCUUAAAAUCCACAAAAAGUUUUGUUUGCUAUUAGCAAGUCCCCAAGCAAAUUCGACUAGUUGCUCAGGUGUCAUAACAGCAAUGCUUCCAAAGUUGACAUAAACCACAGAGUUUGGAUCUUUCGAAUCAAGCCAUUCAAGACAUUCUGGCUCUUCCUUCCAGAGAUUUGAUUGAAUAUCUGUUAAGGACUCAUCAUGCACAUGAUUAUCAAGGAAAUGUAGUGGUCCAAUGGUGUAAAUUGGUGGAAGAUAAGAUGAAAGUGCAUCUAAUACACCAUGUUCGAGUUGUUGAUAGGUGUUUAUAAUGAUGGCAGAAGCCUUUCUAGCUCUCUGAGUUUCUUGCAGGACGAAUUUCACCAUAAAAUCAUCGGGAUUCGUGGUUCGUAAGAAGCUUGGAAGAUCCUUCAAGCGUAUACCCUCUAAUUCUGGAAUCCAGUCUAGAACAGUAUCUAGAUAUCCAUUUGUCAAAUAACUGGCAUCUGCAAGGUAUAAGAUGUACGACACCAAGUAUCAUCAGAAUCAUUCAAAGGGCAUGGGGGCAGUGCAAAAUUUGAUGCUUUUUACAUAGUCAUAUUCUUGAAAAACAAAUAUUUUCCAACUUAGUUAAAAGAAAAAAGAAAUCUUACACUUUCUUAUUCAUUAAAUUAAAUUUUGACUACAAAGUCAAUGUUAUGCGUCCGCCAAUGAGUAUAUGAAGUAAACCACCAAAAAAAAUGGUGAGAAUAGUACUGACAGCAGCAAUAUUUGAGCUUAAUCCACAGAAACAAGUUAACAUUUUUACACUGACAAAAAAUUAUUUUAUUAAGAAUUAGUACCUUUGAGUGGUAUGAUACCCUUUUCCAUAAGCUUGGCAUACUGGAAGUACCCCAAGUAGGAACAUGCACUGGAGGUCCAAAAAAGAACUUCAGGGAUGCUUAGUUCUUCAGCGGCUGCAAGAGUGAAGCCCGUUGCUGCAUCAGAAACUAUGCAAGAAACUGGGGGUACUUUCGAGGAAGAUGUAUCGUUGAGUUCGGCAAGUAGCUCCCUGAAGGGACCUAAGCAAGUUCUAUCCAUAGAUUCAAAAAGGGUUGGAAUAUCUUGGGUAGCAUCGACAUCUGAAGGCGGAAGUCCAUCAGGAAUGGCUUUAAAUUGGAAAUCAGGCAAUCCGUUGAGGGCAUCAGGACCUCUGGAUUUAAGCAAGCGCCUGUGGUUGAAUUCAGUGUUGACAAAGGUGAUGUGGAAACCAUUGUGAUGGAGGAGCUUGGCUAGGUUCAGCAUGGGGCCUAUGUGGCCUUGGGCUGCAGCUGGUAUGCAGACUGCAUGAGGCUUCUUCUCUAAUAGAGCAAUGGAACCCAUUCAGUUCUUCUUGCGGGGGAAUUUGAACAGAUUAAAUGGAAAUUGUUAAUGGGAUUUAUGAGGCUUUGGGAUUGGAACGAUUGCAAAGUUGAUGAAAAGGUAGCUUCAUUUAUAUAGACGGAGUCGAUCAGUGGUAAAGUUCUGUUGCAGUAAUAUUUUUCGGGCUGGGUCUACGGUCUACCGGAGAAUAUUCUUCCGCAGUGGCUUUCAAAAUAAUGAGGCUGUCAAUCUCACAAAGUGAAAAGUUAACAUCUGUUAAUAGUCAUUAGUCUAUUGCUAGGAACACUUCUUUCUUCGUCCAAGGAUUAAAAUAAUUGCUUGGAGUUCUUCAUUUUUUUCAUCUACCUGCUCAAGAAACGUCUGAGUAAGUUGGAACAAAACAAAAUGGUGAAUACAAUAUAUAUAAUAAAGGAAAAAAUGACACUUGUGAUCUACGUGCUUGCGUAUUUAUCAGUGGCCGCUACUGGAGUCAUCACCAACACUGGAGGGUUACCUCCAAUUCAAGAAAUCAAAGUUAGACUUCUUUAUCGUCCCAAAAAGGGGUUCAAUAAUAAAAUAGAAGAAAAAAUCUGGGAAUUCUCUAUCCUUUAUUUUUUGUAUGUACAACUUGUGAGGGGAAUGACGUGAACCCUUCACGAUUACUCAUAGGCCAUAGCUGAUAAUUUGGUGCGGCCCUCCGCCGUUGAGGAGGCAUAUUCAGCAACCAUUAGUUUGCCCACGUCGGCGAGUUAAUUGAUAGACGAAGAAAUCUGGGUCACUCUUUAUUCUGGGACGGCGAAGACACAAUUUUAGUAUCUUGACAGGUGAGGAUUAAACUAUUUCAACUUUUGGUUUCGCCGGCUUAGGCAAAUAGUUAAAUCCAACAGUCACCUUAGAAAUCCUAACAAAGGAAGAUAUCAGAGAGAAAGCAUGCCAAAUCCACCAAUAUGUAACAAGUGUUCUACGUAAAUUUCUCAUCAAUUGCUUAAUUACGAAAAAAGUACUCCAAUUCUUGUAGUUUUGUAUAGUUGUUGUAAGUGAAAUUCUUUUUUUUUUUUGGCGGGAUUACUAAGAAAGUGAUUAAUUCCAAAUUCAAAGAGGUUACUUAUGUUAACAAUAGUAUACGACUUGAGGAAGGAAUAUGCAAUUUAUGAAAGUACAGGGUUCCAGAUUUAGUAUGCAAGAAGCGUUUGAUAAUAAAAAAUAACACAUCUGAAUAAAUAACACUGAAUCUCUUAAGCAAACUUGCUCCAAAAGUGAGAAGUUUUCUGAUUCUCAUUUAAUGUGAUAUACAAUCAAAUAUAUCACAUUAAUAUUUAAUAAUUCAAUAAUUUACUAUAUUCAAAUUUUAAAUUUCAAUUUUAUCAAACACGCUCUCAAUCGAAUUAUUGUGCAAUUCAAAACACAAGAAACCACCAAAAAGAUUUUCAUUGAAUUAAAUCUUUCUAAAUGUUCAUACCACCUUUUGCUUCUCUAUAUGUUCAAACAUGUGGUUUGAAUUAUUUAAUUAAAUUAAAUUAGACAAAUUUUCAAUUCAAUAACUCCAUGAGUCUUAUAUUUGCCCCUUUUUAUUAUUUUUUGUUUCAGUUUUUUAAGGUUGAGCCUUAUUCUAUUACAGCGUAAGCAUAAAAAAAGUUUACAAAGAGAAAUAUCUAACCAACUUAGCUAACUCAGUUGGUCAUCAGAGUCCUCCCCUAUAGGACCAUUAUUUAAAAAAAAAAAAAAAAGAAAUAUCUCAAAACAGUGAAAAAAGGAGAAAUAUCUCAAUACAAUGCACAAGCCUGUUCGAGCAACUCAAAGCUGCAAUCAGAACUCAACACUCAAAAUAGGAAAGAAAACAGCUAAAUAAUACAGAGAAAAAAAAUAAAAACCUAUACAGAGGAAAAAGCCGAUUAAAAUCCCAAGCAGUACGCUAUCAAAUCAAUUACCCUUCGUUCUGCUAAUUCUUCUCCUUGAAGCAAUAGAAGAUUUAACAUGAAUUUGCACAUUUUUAGCUCCAAGUAAACUGACAUAGCCCAUCGUUUCACAAUAAUUUACCUUGUAAAGAAUUGGAGCUCGAUUCAGUUACAUUUUCAACCAAACUACCAACAAAGAAAUAAGUGCAAAAAGGACCGAAAAAACAUUACAGCGAUGCGCGCAAUACAAGGCCGACAAUAUCUGUACCCAAGUCUCAAAUUCAAUAAGCUAAGCAUGAGAACAAUUUGGAUACAUUCACUUUAACGUGUCUAGUGUCUUGGAUUGAGAAGCACUUGAUUAAUCGCAUUCUCAAGAUUGAAGACAGACUUUCGCGUAGCUGCUUCCACCAAUCUUUUCCACUUAAGGCCUUUCUCUUCAUCUUCUUGCCCUUUUCUCCUACCAUUAACUCUGUAACAAGCCUUUCAACAUGAUCCCUCUUAACAUUAUUGUCUAUCUCCAAUCCAAUGCCCCAUUUUGUGCAGCAAAAUCAGCAAUUAGUUUGUUGGUCAGCGAAAAACGGCCAACAGAUCAUAGGCAGCCCAUAGCUAAUGCUUUCAAUCGUGGAAUUCCAUUCACUAUGAAUUAAGAAUCCUCUAACAAAAGGGUGCUUAAGAACUUUCGCUUGAGAGCACGAGCUUGCAAACAUGUUGGGAUUCGAGUGCAAAACAAAUAACUACUGAAACAUCAAAUACAUAACAAUUUGAUGACAAACAAGUCACAAGUAUGAAAGAUAACGACACAUAAUAUUUAACAUAAUCAAUUCCAUCAUUGAACCUACGUUCAUAGAGAGAACACCCACUUUUUAUUAUCAGAGAAAAACUUUAUAUUAGAAUACAAUUUGAAUCCAACCUCAACCCUUAUAUACUAUUUCUCAUUUUUCAAGAAUCCUCUCUCAUUCUAUAUUUAAAACUGCAUGUCCCCCUAAUGUACUUAUUAUGUGCCAAUAUAUAGUAUGGCAAUUCACCUAUUUAUAGAAAAUAUUAUUUGGCUAAAAAUCAAAUAAUAACAGGAAAUUAAUACUAAUCCCUAAACUUGUACAAAAUAGAAGAUAACUUCUAAAUCCUAAACAAAAUAGAAAAUUUUUUUACUACUAUUUCAAAUAAAUAAAAUCAAUUACUCCCUCCAUCUCAUUUAUUUAGUCAUGUUUAGAGAAUCUUUUUAAAAAUAGUGAGUGUAUUUGAAUUGUAAAUUAUUUGAGAUAAUUUUAUGAAAAAAGUACUGUAGAAUUUUUUUUGAUAUGAUAUAUGUGAGAUAAAAAGAUAAUUGGAAAAUGUGUUGAUGAUGCAAGCAAAUCAGUGUGUGUAAAUAAGGUAUAAAUAAAGUAUAUUUUUUUACAAUCCUAACACACUCAGUGAUUUGAUUGUAAUAUUUGUACUUCUUUUUUCAAUUUUAUUUCCACAAAUUCAAAUUUUAAAUUUGAAUAGUAACAUGCAUGUAAUUAGAAAGAAUGACUAUAUUGGAAAGACAGAUUAAAAGGUGUUUUGACUUUUCUAACAUGAUAAUUGUUUUAGAACGUUUUAAAAUGGAAAGUAUGACAUUGGAAAGAGAGAUUAAAAGAUGUUUUGACUUUUCUAACAUAACAAUUGUUUUGGAACAUUUUAAAAUAAAAAGUAUGACACUUUCAAUAGGACGGAGAGUAGAAAACUAGUUAAUUAAGAAACCUAUCGAAAAAAAAUUAAAUCAAUUUCCUACAAAUCUCCACCUUAACAAAUAUUUCUUUUAGGAUCCAUUUACCUUCAAUUACCAAAUACACAUCUGAAUCAAUACAGUUCUGACAUCUAAUUGAUUCAAUCGGCAAGUGAACAUAUGUAGUUACUCUAAAUCCAACCUCCCGUUGACUCGCGAGAAGGUACCUCAAUUCACUAUCUCCCUUCGUAGGAUUUCUUCUCACCAUCACUUGCAACUCGAAAUCUCCUUCUGUGAGUUAUAUUUCUAAUCAUUGAGACAAUUAAGUGGUAAAAUUAUCAUACUUCUUCAUAUUCUCAGGAUUGUCUCGUCUAGUGUAAUUGUCAAGACUCUAUCUAUAACAUAAAACUCAUAGCCAUCAAAGUUUUCUUGCAUUUGAGAAUUAUAUCCCUUUAUUUCUUUAAAACACAUGUCACACCACCUAAAAAAUAUAAUUCAAAUCAAAAGAUCAUUUGAGAUGAAGUAUCAACUGUUAGAGUUGCGAGAAUGUCUCCACCGAUUCAUGUCCAAAAUUAACAUUGAAUUUCACCUUUUUUUCACUCUUGAAUGACUUGUCUAAAUUCACCAUCAAGUAUUUUCAAGCUUUUCAACUUUUCAUCAUUCACCACUAAUGCUUUUUGUCAAAUCCUUAAAACAAGGAUGCUACUUAUUAAAUUGUUCAAUUGGCAACCGUCACCAAUCCACUUGAUCACAAUAAUCAAACAUGAUCCAACCAUGAACCCCGCUUUGAUACUAGUUUGUUGGGAUUUAAGUGUUUGUGAGCAACUCAAUCUUACAAUUAAGUUCUGAUACCACUUGUUGGGAUCCAAACACGAACAAACAACUAUUGAAAUAUCAAGUACACAAUAAUUUAAUGUCAAACAAACCACAAACAUGAAAGAUAAACUACACAUAAUAUUUAAUAUAGUUCGAUUCCAUCAUUGAGUCUACGUCUACAGAGAGAUCAUCCGUUCUUUAUUAUGACAGGAAAAUCCUAUAUAAAAAUACAACUUAAACCCAAAUCCAACUCUUGUAUAGCAUCUUUCAUCUCUCAAGAACCUUUUCUCAUCCUAUGUAUAAGAUUACAUGUCGCCCUUGUAUUCUCAUUAUGUGUCACUUUAUAGUAUGUCAAUCCACCUAUUAAUAGAAAGUAUUAUUUAACCAAAAAUCAAAUAAUAACAGGAAACUAAUACUAAUUUCUAAACUUAUACAUAAUAGGAAAUAACUUCUAAAUUCUAAAUAAAAUAGAAAAUUUCUUAACUACUAUUUUAAGUAAUUAAAACUAAUUAGAAAAUUAAUUACUUACACACAAAUUAAGAAACAUAUCUAAAAGAAAUUAAAUUAAUUUUCUAACAAAACACGCAUCUUUCCUUGGUUUCUUCAAGAAACUCACUCGAAAGAAUAGCUGAAUCGCCUAAAAUAAGGGUCCCGUUUGGCAAGUGAGUUUUUUGAGUGUUUGUCUAAAAUUUUACUAUAACUUACUGUAGAAGUUUUUUAAAAAAUUUUUGAAGUGUAUUUUUUUGGAAUAUUUUGAAAUGUAUAGUUUAAAAAUUUUGAAAAUUUUUUUGAGAUUACGGUAGUUAAAGUUUUUAAAAAACUUAUAGCAGACAAAUUUGGCAAAAAACUUGUCAGCCAAACAAGGUCUUAAAAUCCAUAAUAAGUCUUGUUUAGUGUUAGCAAGUCCCAAUGCAAAUUCGACUAGUUGCUCAGGUGCCAUAAUAGCAAUGCUUCCAAAGUUGACAUGAACCAUCGAGUUUGGAUCUUUCGAAUUAAGCCACUCAAGACAUUCAGUUUUUUCUUUCCAAAGAUUUGAUCCAAUUUCUUUCAAAUUCUUAUCCUUAAUUUGAUUAUCGAGGAUGUUUAGCGGCCCAAUGGGAUAAAUCGGAGGAAGAUAAGAUGAAAGGGCAUGUAAUGCAUGCUGUUCCAGUUGUUGAAAGGUAUUUAUAAUGAUGGCAAAAGCCUCUCGAGCUCUCCCAGUUUCUUGCAUGAUGUAUUUUAGCAUAAAUUCAUCUGGAUUUGUGGUUCUUAAGAAAAUUGGAAAAUCCUUUAAACUUAUACCUUUCAAUCCUAGAAUCCAAUCUAGAACAGUGUCUAGAUAUCCAUUUGUCAAGUAACUAGCAUUUGGAAACCACAAAUGUUUUACAACCAAAACAUCUGAAUCAUAGAACUUGCAAGGAGAAAGGCUAAUUGCUAAGAAUACAUGUAAAAAGAUAUAUAUAUAUAUAUAUAUAUAUCGCACAAAUGUAUCUCUGAUACACACCAUUUCUUAUUUUAUACCUGCCGUGCUGAUUGGGCAUGGCCGCAGAACGAAUUGUCAGAAACUCUGCAAAAAUGUCAGUGGGUCAGCGGCCUACAAUUUUUUUUUUAAUUAGCCUGUCUGGGUACGGCUGGGGACAGGUGGCAAAAAAAAAAAGGGCCAGCAAAUGGGUUGUAUUUGGGAACAUGAAUUUUGUAGCAAAAGUGAAACGAAAGGCCAUACAAAUUCACUGCACUAGCUGCCCUCUUUCUUUCUUUCACUCUUUUCUUUGCUCUUUAUUUCUUGGAAGAGAUAUCUAAACGAUUUUAUUGCACUAAUCCUAAUCAAAGAUUUUGGUUUUAUAACUUAAAGAUUUUGCUGUGGAGUCUUAUAACACUUAAGUUAGGAAGAUCAAAUUUUCAAAGUGGAAAUGGAAGAUUAUUAUAUUUUUCAAGCUGCAAAUUAGUAUAAUUCUAUGUACAAUGAAAAUUCAAUGCUUGCUCAAAUUUUUUGACGAACAACAUGUGUAAGCUAAUAUAUGAAUAUUUAUAUGUAAAUUAAAUGCAGUUUAUACGCGACAAAAUUCAUGAAUAAGAAUCCAUAUAUGUAAAAUUAAUAUACAUUUUUUUUUAUUUUUGCUACUAAUCAGAUACAUUUGUGACUAACUGGUAUUCAAAGCUAAAUUUUAAUCAAAAUUUGAAGUUCCUCCUCAAUGAAGUUCAACACUUGAAGAUGCGCUGACGGUCUUGGCCGAGUUUUCGAACCAUGCUCCUAUGGUUUAAUUUCUCAACCAGAACGUUGCAGUCAGAAAGCAUCAAGAUGGACGUCCAAUUUUCCUUCAAUGCGUUGAGCAAGGCAGUUCUGAUAGCAUGAGCUUCUAGGUUUGUAGCCUCUCCUUUUAAUGAGUUUGGGAUUGACCAUAUUGUCUUUGGACGCUAUACCAAUACCAAACUGGUCUCUUUGCUGGUCCACUGCAGUAUCUAUGUAGAUGAUAGAUGAGUGUUAUUGUUGGACCACCGCAAUCUUGUCAUGACUAUCCAGCUGAGCAUUGUUUUCUUGUUUUUCACAAGUGUUUAGGGGGUUUGCCUCUUUAAACUCAAGCCAAUCUGUCAUGGCCUAUUGGGAGAUUCGAUAACCAUCUUGGUUGAUCAGGUUAAAGUUCCAAUUAUUCCUUACCUUCCAGAUAUGCCAAAGUUGGUUAGCUGUCAUUUCAAUAUGAGCUUUGCCAUCUACCAUUUCUCUAGCCUAUUGUAAGCUCUCCCACCAUGUUCAAAAGCUCCCUUUCAAUUGUUCUAGACCAUCCCAUUUGAUAGGGAAAGUUUUCCAAAUCUGCUCGCUUGUCCUACAAAAGAAAAGAAGGUGUUCUCAUGUUUCUGCACUUUCUCCACAACUCCUGCACCAAGGUUCUUCUUUCCUGGUCUUCGGAAUAUAUUCUCGUGGGUGGGAAGAAUGUCGUGUAGGCAUUUUCCACAGGAAGUGAUUAACCUUGUGUUUAAUGUUGAGGUCCCAAACUUGAUGCCAAAUUCUGGAAUUCUGUGUAUUCUUACUAGUGCUCUCAUGUUGCAGAAGCCUUUUGUUGUUCCUUUCCAUUCUUUCCUUGGCCUUUACAUAUCUAGUUUUGGUAGUAUAUUUACCAUUUGCACUGUUGCACCAAGUGUACCUGUCCUUCCCUCCAAAUAAGCUAAAUGGGAUAGCUGUGAUUAGUUUGGCCUCUUCAGCAAAGAAAAUGGAGUUUAUGAUGUUCGAAUUCCACUUCUAGUCAUGAAUCAAAUCCGAGACUUUGUCAUAUGGACAAUUGUGUGGCUUAGGUGUGGAGAUUUUACUUGAGCUGCUGUUUUUGAGCCAUCAAUCCUUCCAAAUUGCCAAAUUGCAAUAGUGUUGCCAUUUCCAACCUGCUUCCUUAAUUCACUUUCCAGCAUCCCAGUUGAACUGUGCAGACUUUGCUAGAUCCACGAAGCUCCAUUUUUCACCUGUGCAUCAAGAAUAGAGGAUUUGGGGAAAUACCCUCCUUUUACCAUCUUACUAACCAACAAGUUUGGAUUGGUAAGCAUUAUCCAAACUUGUUUGGCUAGUAAGGCAGUGUUAAAGCAUUGAAUAUCCCGGAAACCAAGUCUCCCUUUCCCUUUAACAUCAGAAAUAUCAGCCCAACUCUUCCAAUGCAUUUUCUUUUCUUUAGAAUCACCUCCCCACCAGAAUUUAGCCAUCAUCCCGUAAAGCUCUUUACAUAGUUCAGCAGAUAGUUUGAAAACUGACAUUGCAUAUGAAGGGAGAGCAAGGGCCACAAAUUUGAGUAAUACCUCUUUACCUACAAAACUCAGCAUUUUAUCUUUCCAACUUUGUAGCUUUUUGCACAUCUUCUCUUUAAUGAACGUGAAGACACUAUUCUUUGAUCUACCUAUCACCAUAGGCAAGGAUCACUAGUAUUUGCUUUGAGUGACAAGUUGGAUGUUGCCAAGUGGUCUCAAGAUAGCUUCUGCCUCUGUUUGAGAAAUAUUUUUGCUAAGGAACACUGAUGAUUUCUCAAUAUUUAUUUGUUGUUCCGAGGCCUUUUCGUAGCACUUGAGAAUUCGCUUGAUCUCUUCAGCUUCACUUGUGUUGGCUUUGGAAAACAUAAGGGAGUCGUCAGCAAAAAAGAGAUGAGAAAUUGUUGGACUUUUUCAGGAGAUUUUGAAUCCCAGAAAUUCUGUUAUCCUCAGUGGCUUGCUUAAGAAGAUGUUAGAGGCCUUCUGCACAAAAAAAGAAGAGAUAGCGAGAUAGAGGAUCUUCAUGUCUAAUUCCCCUAGUGAGACACAUAGCCUUGUUUUUCCCCCAUUAAUGUUAAAACUAAAAGACUUGGAUGAUAAACAACCACGAAUCCAUUUAGUCCACCUUGGGCAGAAGCCCAUUUUACACAUGACAGCAAACAAAAACUUCCACUCAACCCUAUCAUACACUUUGGACAUAUCAAUCUUUAAGAAACAUAGAUGCAUCUUUACCUCCCCUCAUAUUAUUGAGCCAGUGAAUGUACUCAUGUGCAAUAAUGAUGUUGUCUAUAAUUUGUUCCGGGACGAAUGCAGCCUGAGAAUGACUGAUAUAACCACCUAAGAAGGGUUUAAGUCUAUUAACAAUAACUUUGUAGACAAACAUUACAAAGGCUAAUGGACUUGAAGUGGGAAAGAUUGACAGGGGUAUCAAUUUUGGGGAUGAGGGUGAUUAAUGUCUCAUUAAAGGCUUUUAACAUGUGGCCAAUACUAAAAAAGUUUUGAAUUGCCUCCAUAAUAAACCAAAAUCUUUGAAAGAAGAUGGGGACAUAUCGUGGGGUCCUGGUGCCUUGUUAGCAUGCAUGGAAAAAAGUGCUGCUUUGACUUCCUUUUCUGUGACAAGUUAGGUAAGCUGCAAGUUCAUCUCAGUAUUAAUUGUCCUGGGGAUGCCAUUCCGAAUUUCCUCAGAGUCAUUAGGCUGUGAGCGUGUAGAACGCACAUAGAUAGAAGCUCAUCUGCAUAUGGGCGUAUGUUGCACAUUUAUUCAAGUAAAACUAAACGCACGUUUCUUUGAUAGGAGCCCAAAAUUGUUAAUUCGACUGAAGCGAAUUGGGAAAAUUUGCAUAACAAGAAUUCUUUGUUUCGAUGGACUUUUCUGGCAAGUGCAUAGGGUCACUUGUUAGACAAAUUGAAAUUUUACAUGUUCCAACAUCUGAUGAAAGAGAAAUUCUUAUGUAAAAUUGCACAACUAGCCAUCUUUUGGCCAAAUUAGAUUGUACAUUUGUCCAAACUGCCAAAGUACAUUCAUCAAUCAAUAACAAAUAUGAUAGAAAUAUUGCAGCAAACAACGGAUCGGCAAUGAAAAAUAUUAAACAAGAAGUAAAGAACUCAAGAAGCAUUUUUGAAAGCGAACCAUGCAUGUACGAGUAAUUAAAAGGAAAAUCUCUAACCAAGUCCAAAUUCAACGAGCCGAAGAACAACUCUUUAGAUUCUAAUGGACCCAAAUCAAUAUCAUAAAUCCAAAGGAACAAUUAAGGAAAAACAUAGACGAGGCAAAUGAAAAUUUUCUUAUAGAUGAAACACGAUGCAGCUACAAUACAAAGACAACAGCCACCGACAAAGGCAUUGACUAUUCUUCACCGCACCAAUAAGCCAUAUGCGGCUAACUACUAUUACCACUACUAUACUAAAUUUAUGGGAUUGAAUCCCACGCGGCCAACCUUACAAAUCCACAGCACAACUUUCUGUACUAAUCAAUACAUUGAUGACAUAUGGCAUCAACAUCAUUGAAAAAAAAAUAC